rnacentral:lncRNA from 1 species
GGCGGAGAUGGAGAGGGAGAGGGAGGCGGAGAGGGAGUGGAGAUUGAAGGAGAGGGAAGGAGGUGAGAGGGAAGCGGAGGCGGGUCUGGAGAUGGAGAAAGGAAGGGACUUGGGGGUGAAGGUGGAGAGAGCGAGAGAGGAAGCUGAAGCAGCCAUGGUGAAGAGAUGAGAAGAGAUAAGGUUUGUUUUUAGCUUUAGGGGUUUUUUGAGAGUGGAGAUAAGAUGGUGUGUUUCUGAUAUUUAUGGGCCAAAUGGGAAUAAAUAUCUUUGCACAAAAUAUCUCAUUCUGAUUUUUAUUUACAAAAUUUGCCUCAAAACUUUAUUUUAUUGCUAAAUAUUCUGCUGCUAAUAAAAUUUGUCAAAUUUUGAUGAAUUUAUCUUAACGUCAUCUCUAAAAAAAGUAUGUAUUUAAAAAAAAUAUAGGUUUUCAUAAAUUUGUACACAAUUUUUUUAGAAAAUCUUAAUUUUCAAAAUAUUUUGUAUUUUCUCACUUUAGUGGUGUUAUCUUUAGUGAGAUGACAGAUGAGAUGAGAUCUAAGCCGUAGAGUUUUGGAUGGACAGUGGAGAUGGCACGUCUCAUGCCAAGGCCCCAAAAAUAUAAAAAAUCUAUAAGAUAGGAUAUUUUAACUAAAAGCCAAUGGAAUUAACAACUCUCGUUCCAGCACAGAUCUUUAACUCCAAUAAAUUCAGAAAACAAUACAGUUCCUUUAAAGAAAACCACUGAAUCAUACAAAGGUUGCUCCAUUCAAAACAAGUUAAUAAGAAACUAUUUAUUUGGAUAACAAUAGAAGACUGAAGUUCUUGAACUGCAAAACGCUUUUAGGAUCUCUUCAAUUGGAGGGUCAUCUCCAGCUUCUUUGUCCUGAAACGUUCCAACAAACAAGUUGUUGAGUACGAGAUUGUGAUUAAUUUACCCCUUUGAUUACAUUGACAUGGUGUAAACACAAGUAUUUGAUCAAAACGUGUUACCUGGUCCAUACUCCCCGGUCCGAUCAAAACAUGAGAAACACCAGAUGCAUCCAUCACAUGCUAAGAAAACCUCAAAUGUAUCACUUAAUGAAAUGAUCAAAACCACAUCAAGAUUUUGACAUUGUUGUUUUUACUCCGGGAAAGCCGAAAGAAAUAAGAAAAAUCCUAACUUUAAGUUUUAGUUAGAAAAAAAAAUCAAAUUAAAAAAAUCUCGUGGAGUGGAGUUAUUACACGUUGCAUAGAUGACGUAAGCAUUGUCCGAAACAGAAAAAGUCAAACGCCACGUAAGCUCAGUAAGGGUAAAAAGUUUUGGAAAGGUAGAUCCUUUUCUAAAAGCGAAUGUUCCUUCUUUGCACGUUCAAGCGAUCUCAAGCCGCUCCUCUCUCUCUCUCUCUAUCAUCUCUGAAAUGGCGAGAGUACUGCGUGUGGCGAGAUCCUCCUCCUCCCUCUUCAGCUUCGGAAGCAGAUCUUAUUCAGCCGAAGCUAGCCACGUGUCCUCUCCCCCUCCUCCGUUUCUUGGAGCUCGCAGAGACGUUACCAAGGAGAGAAACGUGCAGUGGGUGUUCCUCGGUUGUCCCGGUGUCGGGAAGGGGACUUACGCCAGCAGACUCUCGAGUCUCCUCGGUGUUCCUCACAUCGCCACCGGAGAUCUCGUCCGUGAUGCGCUAGCUUCUUCCGGACCUCUCUCCCGACAGGUUCUUGUUUCACUUUAUGUCCAAAUGAAUCCCAAAACGACGUCGUUUUCUGUUUAAAUCUGCUAAAAGUUCAUGUGUCUACCAACAGAUCUAAUGAACUAGUGUUUGUUUUGUCCUAACGGAUCUGAUCCUUUUUCUAAUAAUAGUCAACGGCUCUCUCCUCUUGCUUGUAUUGAGAUUCUUAUUACUUGAUUGCAGCUAUCAGAGAUUGUAAACCAGGGGAAGCUUGUUUCUGAUGAGAUCAUAGUGAACUUAUUAUCAAAGAGACUUGAAGCUGGUGAAGCCAAGGGCGAAUCAGGUUUCAUUCUUGAUGGCUUUCCUCGUACCAUGAGACAAGCUGUAAGUUAAUUCAUUGACUUCACAUCAUAUUGAGCAAAGUUUUGAAUGAUUAAUCUUUGUGUUUUCAGGAAAUAUUAGGAGAUGUCACUGACAUCGAUCUAGUGGUGAACUUAAAGCUACCUGAGGAGGUUUUGGUUGACAAAUGCUUAGGGAGGAGAACGUGUAAUCAAUGCGGUAAAGGUUUCAAUAUAGCUCACAUCAACUUAAAGGGUGAGAAUGGGAAACCAGGAAUCAGCAUGGAUCCACUUCUCCCUCCACCUCAGUGUAUGUCAAAGCUCAUCACUCGUGCUGAUGAUACUGAGGAGGUUGUGAAAGCUAGGCUCCGUAUUUACAAUGAAACCGUAAGUCCUCUUUCUCUCUCUCUAUUGUUCUUCCCAUUUUAGCGAUGCUUGAUGCUUUGAAUGAUGUGUGCAGAGCCAGCCUCUUGAAGAGUACUACCGUAUCAAGGGAAAGCUGAUGGAGUUUGACUUACCUGGAGGCAUCCCUGAGUCUUGGCCAAGGCUGUUAGAAGCUUUAAGGCUUGAUGAUUACGAGGAGAAGCAAUCUGCCGCGGCGUAGUUCAACUACAACUCCGGUUUAUAAUUCUUUGCAUGUGGAAGACAUGUGCCUAUAUCAGUUUUGUGUUGGAAAAUAAAGAAAACCUUAGAUUGUUUUUUUUUAUUGCCUCAGAUCAGAAUAAUCAUCAUCAUACACACUUUGCAAACUAUAUGAUGUAUCAUGAUUGUUUAUGAGUUUGCUAGUUACAGGAAUGUAUAAACACUUUGGUACACUUUUGAUUAUUUAUUGUUGAAUGUGAUCAAUGAUUGUUUAUGAGUUUGCUAGUUACAUUACAUGAAUGUAUCAAUACUUACACUGCUUGUUACACAUCAGGUUUGAUGUUUGGGCUCUUGUGAUUAGUUUGUUUAUUGUUGAAUGUGUGUGAUAAUAUUGCGGCUGGCCGAGCUGGCUGGUUAAAGAACACAACCAGACAGUAAAGUAAAACAGUCGCAUACAUUAAAGAUUUUGUGGAACGUAUAACCAGCUCCUGUCUGUCCUAGAAUUGGCGGUUCGGGAUAGAACUGUUCCUUACAUACUGGAACUUCCAGUAGAAUUUGAUGCUAAUUGUUGGUCCUAAACUAGUGUGUAUCAGUUGCUAUGUGAUCUCAUAACUGGACCUUAUCUUAUGGUUUGUGCUUGAGGUUUCUGAGAAAUCGCUGGGUUCAUUUGAUUCUUCUGGUUUGACAAUUAGUUUCUUGUUAUGGACACGGUGAAAUCAGACUCAAAUCGGUGGAAUAAGACAGCCUCAAAGAAGGCAGACAUAAUCAUGUUUGCUCUUGAUUCAUCUUCAAUCUCAACAGGACAUUAAAAUCAAUUUGUAGCUUUAUUUUGUUAGUAUAUAGAUUUGAUGAAAUAAACAACCUUUAAAUUAUAAAUAUAAAGAUGAAAAUAUUCUUAAACAUGAAACCGUUUUGAUCAAGAUUCAAAAAAAACUUCAUUAAAAGAUAGGGACAUCUUCUGAAACAUAUCCAAAAAGCUCUAAUGAAAAACAGCAAGAUAAGGUCUUUGAGAUGUAAUGCAAACUCAAGGCCUAGGAAGAUCCUCCUUAACGGUUGGCCUUCGCAACUCUCUCAAUCUCAUCCUUCUUCUUGAUGGCAUAGCUGCAAAAAAACAAGACAAGAUGCUAUUAGUAUUUAGCAACAAACAAACACAAUUUGUGAACCCGCUUUAAGAGACAAGACAAUGUAAAGAUGUUUACCUGUUGGAAGAUCCCUUGGCAGCAUUGAUGAGCUCAUCAGCAAGGCACUCAGCGAUUGUCUUGAUGUUUCUAAACGCAGCUUCACGUGCACCAGUGGUGAGCAAGAAGAUGGCUUGGUUCACACGUCUUAGAGGAGAGAUAUCAACAGCCUGCCUCCUAACCACACCAGCAGAUCCAAUCCUCGUCGCAUCCUCACGUGGACCACUAGCUCACCAAUAAAACACACACAACAUUAGAAAAAAAGGUUUCUAGUAACACGCAAUAAAGAAUGCAACAUUGUUGUCUUACCUGUUGACAAUGGCAUCAAUGAUAACCUGAAUAGGGUUCAAGUCAGUCAAGAGAUGGAUGAUCUCCAUGGCGUGCUUGAUGAUCCUCACAGCCAUCAGCUUCUUUCCGUUGUUCCUUCCGUGCAUCAUGAGAGAGUUCGUGAGCCUCUCAACGAUUGGGCACUGAGCCUUCCUGAACCUCUUCACAGAGUAUCUUCCAGCAGUGUGGGGGACAAAGGUCGCGUGCUUAGCAGGCUGAACACCAAUGUAGUCAACAAGACUAAUGUCUGUGACCUACCCAUUCACAAAAAAAAAAAACACAAGAUCAACAAAACAAAUACUAAGAACAUAGCCAUUGUUGCCAAUUUAAAUUUUAGAGAUCUAAUAUUCAAAAACAAACCAAACAACACAGAAAGUGUUGGACUUUAAGACAAAGAAACAUCAGGAUCAACCAAGUGUACUGAGACAAUAAAACAUGAAUUGAAAAUUAACAAAAAUAAAAACAAAAAGAGGACAUUUUUUCCGACAUAACUCCAUGAGUUAUAUCUAAUUCAGACAAUGUAACUAUUUUUUUGUAAUAGACCAAUCAUUUCAUUGUAGAAUUAGAUCCUAUAAAGAUUGCAAAUGAGCUAUCGUAAACUUACCGAAACGUCAUCAAAGCUCCAGCGAUUGAAGAGCUUGACCUCGUUGGUAAGCUGCUGCUGAAUCUCAGCGUCAAUCUCAACGGCGGCGGCCAUGGCUGGAAACACCAAACAAAAGCUUAGCCACAAGCACACACGCAAACCAGAGAAUCGAAGAUGAAGAAGAAAUCAAUACCUCAAACUCGUAAGCGUCGUGNNNNNNNNNNNNNNNNNNNNNNNNNNNNNNNNNNNNNNNNNNNNNNNNNNNNNNGCGUCGUGUGGAGAUGAGACGGGACUAGGUUUAGCUGCAGCUACUGCUUGAAGAAGGUGGUGAGAAGAAACAAAAACCCUAAUUUUACUAGAGUAUAGGGUUUUUAAAAUGGAUUUUAUUGGGCCCAAUGGGCUUUUCGUAAGGCCCAGUCCAAGUCGUUAUACCAUAAGUCUUUAGAGCAUACUAGAAAGAGAGCAUUCAAUGCGGGAUGUCGACUUGCUAGCUCUCGUCCAUGCACCGUCCGUCGCCAUCAAUCCGUGAGUUUUUAUCGGUUUUUGUUCAAUGACUCCAACGAACUUUGAAAGAUUUGCCCACUCUUCCUUGCAAAUUAAUCACGAGAUCAUCGCCUUGUACUUGUUACUCCAUUUUGUCGUAUUAUCAUAUUUACUUGUUACUCCAUAUUGUCGUAUUAUCAUAUUUUUAUAAGAUAUUCACUAACAGUAACAGAUAAGUCAUUCUUAUCCUAAAGUCAUUUUAAUUCAGAGACGACAAAAUUUAGGAAAAAUAAAUUCUAGAUGAUUUAUCGAAAAAUAUUUGUGUGUAAUGUUAUAGUCAGUUAACUUAAUUCGUUUGCAAUUUCUAGGAAUAAAAAUAUGACAGUCUAAUUCGUUAAAUUAGUAUACUUUCCCAAAAAGACAAAUAAUACAAGCUGAUCUUGAAGAAUCAAUAAAUUAAUGUGAAAAUGAUAGACAAUGAACGUGAAGAUUGCUUGAGAUAUGAUAAGAUACUUUCAAUGCUCCCGACAAGAAAAGCAUUAAUUUGGACUCGUUGAUGCAUGGGGUAGAUAAGAGUGGACAGGGGAGCUUGCAGAGAUUGGAAACAAGUAUGGGGGAUCGAGUUUCAAGAGCAUCUCCUCAAGAAAUGAACAUGAGGAUGAGAACAUUUCUCGUCGACACACAAACUGCUAAGAUAAACUAUUGUGGUAAGAUAGAAUAUAUGUACCACAUCAAUGUCCUAGCUAAGAAUAGAUACCACAGCAAUGUUCUAGCAAAGCAAUAUUGUCGAAAGUUUGUUCAUCUAUAAUUUUCUUUUCCUUUUAAUUAAUUAAGAUGGGUGCAAUUUUUGCCUAGCAACACUAGAAUAUAGAAUAUGGACCACUUAUGUAAUUUAAGCAUGCAUAAUGGCACACUAUAAGUACUAGCUUUUAAAUAAAUAAAGUGAUCCUUCAAUUAAUUAGGUAUUUCAUAUUCUCAAAGUAAGUUAGGUAAUAAUACUUUAAUUUCCACACUUUCUUGACCCAAUAAAACUCCCCAAUAUAUUAUUUGUAGUCUACUUUUUUUUAUUAAAUUUGUAGAUAUUGUUAGAGGAAUAUAGUAUGUUUUCUUUUGAAUUAUUAUCUCUUUUUAUUUAUUUUUAUUUCAAAUAAUAAGUUUGUUUAUUUUUAAGAAGAAUAUCCUACCUCUAGUCAAUUCAAAUUGUUUGUUUCCGACCAUAUUCCAAUCAUGGUAAAUUACCCAAAAAGAACACAAAAUAAUGACGUUGAGACACUCUCAAAAGUUAGCACGUAACAAUUGUAGUAGUGAAAAGACGUCUAAGCAUAUUAAAUAUAUUUACACUUUGAAGACAAAUGCAUAUCUCAUUAUUGACUAUUCAUCAGAUAAGAAGCCAAGAGAGUACUCACUGAGACAUGAGUGGUGAUGAUUUGAGAAUGGAGCUUGCAGAGAUUGGAAAAAGCAUGGGGUCGAGUUUCAGGAGCAGCUCCUCAAGAAACGAGGAUGAGGCAGAGCAUGCUCUGCAGUGGGCUGAGAUCCAAAGAUUACCUAGUUUCAAACAACUGAGAUCAUCUCUGGUCGAUGAAGAAGGGGAUGAUGUGGAGAAAGGGAAAAGGGUCGUUGAUGUCACCAAGCUUGGAGCCAUGGAACGUCGUCUGAUGAUUGAGAAGCUGAUCAAACACAUUGAGAAUGACAAUCUCAAGCUGCUCAAGAAAAUUAGAAGAAGAAUAGACAGGUAUAUGUGAAAACAAAGAAACAAACCUUGUGAAUCUUGAACUGAGUUGUUACUUUGCAGGGUUGGUGUGGAGCUUCCAAGCAUAGAGGUGAGGUAUAAGCAUCUAAGUGUUGAAGCAGAAUGUGAGGUCGUUGAAGGGAAGGCGCUUCCAACUUUAUGGAAUUCUUUGAAGCACAUUUUCUUAGUGAGUAUACUUGAGAAUAUAAUGCAUUUUGCCAGUAGGUAGUAAAUUGUUGUGAACAAACGCGAAUUAACUUCAAAGAAAACAAAAAAAACUUGAAAAGAACAAAGCACGAUUGAGGCAAAUAUCAUUUUAAAAUUUGUAUAUUGAUUAUGUGAAUAAUUAAAUCUACAACAACUUAGACAGUUGUUAACAUAACUAGUAUUGAACUAUACUUUUUUCUUCUUUAGGAGUUGGUAAAGCUGAGUGGUGUAAGAACACAUGAAGCCAAGAUAAGCAUACUUAACGAUGUUAGCGGCAACAUUAACCCUGGAAGGUAGCUUUUGAUCCAAGCUUUGAGUUAGUGUGUAAUGCACGCAACUAAUGCUCUCUUCUUGUUGCUCCAAGGUUAACACUGCUGCUUGGUCCUCCUGGAUGUGGAAAAACUACUCUGCUCAAGGCUUUGUCCGGAAACUUGGACAAGAAUCUAAAGGUUUUCAGACUUUGUUUCAAUCUGAUUCUCAUGAUGCAGAUGUGUAAACCACAGAACUCUUUUGUUUUCCACAGAUUUCUGGUGAAAUCUCUUACAAUGGACACGGUCUAAACGAGUUUGUUCCUCAGAAGACAUCCGCUUACAUAAGCCAACACGAUCUGCACAUUGCGGAGAUGACUGUUAGGGAGACAAUAGACUUCUCAGCUCGUUGUCAAGGUGUUGGUAGUCGAACAGGUAAGAUGUCUUCUGAAGCAUCCGCUAAACUAUUUGCUGAAACAGAUAUAUCAAUUUUCUCUGUACCAAUGUUCAAAAAGUUGUUUGGCUAUAACUAUGCAUUUUAUAGAGGACUACCGAUUAGAUUGAUUAUUCGGGGCAGUGCUAACGAAAUAUUGAUUUGUUUUAUAUAUUUUUUACAUUUUUAUAUGAUAUUUUUUGGCUUUAAUUAUAAAACUAUUUUGAUGAAUUGUAAAAAUUAAAUAUACAAAAUAAAACAAAUUAGAAAAAUCUGUGGAUUUGCACUAACAUAAUUGGUUAAUUUAGAUUGAUUUAAACCAAUUUUAACUGAUUUAGAACAAUUCAAACCGAUUUGAAUCAUGCUCUAUACUAUUGGCUGAAACAGAUAUUAUGAUGGAGGUCAGUAAAAGAGAAAAGGAUGGUGGAAUCAUUCCUGACCCUGACGUAGAUGCUUACAUGAAGGUCCCAUUCCAUAAGCUAAUCUUUUAAGAGGGAUGAUUAUAAAACCUUUUGUUAAUCCCAUUGUGCAGGCUAUAUCGGUUAAUGGACUUAAAAGAAGUCUACAAACAGAUUACAUCUUGAAGGUAAUUUCUCUGACAACAACUCAGACUUGUAAUCCUUGUUGAUUAGCUUCUUGAUUAUGUCAUGUAUUUGCAAUUUGCAUUUCUUUUUCUUCAGAUCCUAGGGCUUGACAUAUGUGCAGAAACAUUGGUUGGUAAUGCCAUGAAAAGAGGCAUAUCUGGUGGUCAAAAGAAGCGUCUUACUACAGGAGAGAUGAUCGUUGGUCCAACAAAAGCUCUGUUUAUGGAUGAAAUCACAAACGGCUUAGACAGCUCCACAGCGUUUCAGAUAGUUAAGUCACUUCAGCAGCUGGCUCACAUCACCGACGCAACUGUGUUUGUUUCCCUUCUUCAGCCUGCUCCAGAGUCAUAUGAUCUCUUUGACGAUAUUGUCUUGAUGGCUGAAGGAAAAAUAGUUUAUCAUGGUCCAAGAGGCGAGGUCUUGAGGUUCUUUGAAGAGUGUGGGUUUAGAUGCCCAGAGAGGAAAGGUGUUGCAGACUUUCUACAAGAGGUAAGAAGCCAAGUUUAUGUUCCUUGACACUUACGUUUUGUUCUGAGUUGUUUUUGUUUUGCAGGUUAUAUCUAGGAAGGACCAAGGACAGUACUGGCUGCACCAGGACAUACCCUAUACCUUUCUCUCAGUAGACGCGUUGUCCAGGAGAUUCAAGGAGUUAGAGAUUGGGAGAAAGAUUGAGGAUGCUCUCUCUAAGCCCUAUGAUAAUUCAAAAACCCACAAGGAUGCUCUCUCUUUCAGUGACUAUUCUCUUCCAAAGUGGGAGCUGUUCAGAGCAUGCAUCUCAAGAGAGUUUCUAUUAAUGAAGAGAAACUCUUUCGUCUACCUCUUCAAGACGUUUCAGGUUACAUUCUUCGUUCCUUGUGUCUUCUUUCAAUGUUCUAGGGUUAGGUCUAAAGAAACCCUUCUUGCCCUUUAUGUUUUGCAGCUUGUUCUGUCAGCAAUCCUCACUAUGACAGUUUUUAUUAGAACACGUAUGGGUGUAGAUAUCAUUCAUGGAAACUCUUACAUGAGUUGUCUCUUUUUCGCAACCGUUGUGCUUUUGGUGGAUGGUUUGCCAGAGCUGUCUAUGACUGUUCAACGUCUUGCCGUGUUCUACAAGCAAAAGCAACUUUGUUUCUAUCCAGCUUGGGCUUAUGCAAUCCCUGCAACCGUGUUAAAGAUCCCUCUCUCUUUCUUCGAAUCUCUCGUUUGGACUUGCCUUACUUACUACGUCAUUGGAUACACUCCUGAAGUCUCUAGGUAAGAAGAACUCUAUAACCAUCUCUUGCUUGCUCCCUACUCAAACGAUUAUGGAAAGUAAUGGUUACUUGGUGUUUUUAGGUUCUUACGUCAGUUCAUGAUGCUCUUUGCUGUUCACUUCACAUCCAUAUCCAUAUUCCGAUGUAUAGCUGCAAUCUUUCAGACAGGAGUUGCUUCAAUGGCAGCUGGUAGUUUCGCCGUAUUAAUCACCUUUGUGUUCGCCGGUUUCGCCAUCCCAUACAGUAAGACUUUUGCACUCUUUCUUCAUUUCAGUCUUGUUCCAAACUUCCAUCAAAACAUGACCAGGGCCGGAUCUAGGCACAGCCCAAUAAAACAUCGGUCUCGGUCCCUAAAUUUUUUGAAAUUUUUAGUACGAAUAAACCCCUAAACUAUAGAAAAAAAAAAUUGUUUUACUAAGAUUUUUAAAUGUUUCAAGCUCCCAAAAUCUCAUAUCCGGCCCUGAACGUGACAUUGGUUUUGUUGCUGCAGCUGAUAUGCCAGGGUGGCUGAAAUGGGGAUUCUGGGUGAAUCCUAUAGGUUACGCAGAGAUUGGGCUCUCUGUAAACGAGUUUCUUGCUCCGAGAUGGCAGCAAGUAAGUAUCUCAUCUUUUUACAUACUUCUCUUCAUCAUUCUUACAAGACUAAUCAAGUUUUUCUUGUUAUGUUUUGUAGAUGCAACCAACGAAUGUUACAUUGGGGAGAACCAUACUUGAAAGCAGAGGACUGAACUAUGAUGAUUACAUGUACUGGGUCUCAUUAUGUGCCUUGCUGGGACAGACUCUCCUCUUCAAUACUAUUUUCACUCUAGCUUUGAGUUUCUUGAAAUGUAAGUUACAAAAUAUCGAAAAAUAUGCCAUGGACUAAAGCAUAAACUGAAGAGCUUCUUUUUUAACAGCUCCCACUACAUCUCGCGCUAUGAUCUCCAAAGACAAGCUCUCUGAGCUGCAAGGAACAAAAGAUUCAUCACUCAAUAAGAACAAGAAGGCAAUAGAUUACACAGAAGAUUCAGGUGAAACAUAUAUGUCUUUCUUGUCAUACAAGCAAACUCUUUAUUCUCAGUUUAGCUUUAUUGACCUAAUUCAUUCAGCAGGGAAGAUGGCCUUACCUUUUAAGCCUCUCACCAUAACAUUUCAAGAUUUGAACUACUACGUUGACGUUCCUGCGGUAAAAUCUUCUCCUCCCCAUCCUUGGAUCUUAACCAUCUUCAUAUGCAAACAUGAUCAUCAAAGGACGUUUUGACUAAUCUUAGGAGAUGAGAGUUCAAGGAUACAAUGAGAAGAAACUGCAGCUUCUCUCAGAUAUCACCGGAGCUUUCAGACCAGGCGUUCUAACAGCGUUGAUGGGGAUCAGUGGAGCCGGAAAAACAACUCUACUCGACGUUCUCGCCGGAAGAAAAACAAGCGGAUACAUCGAAGGAGAGAUCAGAAUCAACGGAUACUUUAAAGUCCAAAAAACCUUCGCAAGAGUCUCAGGCUACUGCGAGCAAACAGAUAUACACUCACCAAACAUCACCGUCGAGGAGUCUCUAAUCUACUCAGCUUGGCUCCGUCUAGUUCCAGAAAUAGAUCACAAAACCAAAAUAGUAAGCCGGCCCUAGUGAUUCUAAAAAAGGCAAGAAUGACCUAGAAAGUAACUUGACUGAAAAGAAACUCGUUGCAGAGAUUCGUGAAGGAAGUUCUUGAGACGAUAGAGCUGGAGGAGAUCAAGGACGCGAUGGUGGGAGUCCCCGGCCAGAGCGGGCUGUCGACGGAGCAGAGGAAGAGGUUGACGGUGGCGGUGGAGUUGGUGGCGAAUCCUUCGAUCAUAUUCAUGGACGAGCCGACGACGGGGCUGGACGCAAGAGCAGCAGCCAUUGUGAUGAGAGCUGUGAAGAACGUUGCGGAGACUGGACGUACCAUUGUGUGCACUAUUCAUCAGCCUAGUAUCGAUAUUUUUGAAGCCUUCGACGAGGUACAUAUGUUUUUCAAAUAUGAAAAGUAUUUAUAGUGGUUUUGUUUUAAAAGAAUACUCUCACAUGUAUUAUAUUAACAUUUUAUCCAAAAGUAGAUAUAAGAGAUUUUUUUUCUUCAAAAUAGCCUUUAUCAAAAAUUUGAAAAUUAUAGAAUAAUUGAGUUUAGGGUUUAAAAGGGAUGGGUGAGAUUAGGUUUUAUAAAUUAAAGUAACUUAAUUUUUUUUAUUUAAAUGAGUGUGUUUUGAAGAUCUGUUAGUGUUAUAUUUGUGAUAAACUUUAAAAGUGCUAUUUUGGAGUUUUGACUAUUUUGUGGAUAAUUAAGAAGAAAUUUCUUAUAACAUAUUGUUUUUAUUACAUGUUCAGUUGGUACUUCUGAAGAGAGGAGGUCGCAUGAUUUACACUGGACCACUUGGACAACAUUCUUCUCAUGUCAUACAGUAUUUUGAGGUUAGCGUGUUAUACAAGAAAAUGAGCCAGUUUAGUUUCUAUGACUUUUUCAAUGUUUUAACGAAAUAAUUAACUAUGUAUAUUUUUGUUAUUUGGGGUUAAUGAACAGAGUAUCUCUGGAGUUGCUAAGAUUAAAGACAACUACAAUCCAGCAACAUGGAUGCUAGAGGUCACUUCACAGUCUGUAGAGAUUGAACUCAACAUGGAUUUUGCAAAAAUCUACAAAGAAUCUGCUCUCUACAAGUGAGCUGAAUAUCUCAAAAACAACUGAAACCUUGUCAUUUAUUACGAGCUCAUGUGUUUUCUCUGUAGCAGGAGCAACUAUGAGCUUGCUCAGGAGCUGAGCAAACCGGAUCCCGGGUCAAGCGAUUUACAUUUCGAGAGAACUUUUGCGCAGAGCUGGUGGGAACAGUUCAAAUCUUGUCUAUGGAAGAUGAGCUUGUCUUACUGGAGAAGCCCUGCUUACAACUUGAUGCGAAUCUUUCACACUUUAGUCUCUUCUUUGAUCUUUGGUUUACUCUUCUGGAAGCAAGGUCAAAAGAUGUAAGUUAGUUGCAUAAAAUACAUUCAAAUCAUCAUUAGAGCAUGUUCAUUAGUGAGACCCUUAAGUGUCUCUUAAGUGGGGUUUAAUAAUUUUUUAACUAUUAAAUUUAAUAUAAGAGAUUUUGUUAAGAAACACUUAAUUAUAGUGGUUUAUUGGUGGUUUCUUAAUUAAGGUGCUUAACAAAUAAAAAAAUAUUAAACUUUUUUUAAACAUAAAAUUUUAAACAAAGAUUAAUUUUAUUUAUUAAAUAAAACAAAGUCAAACAUAACAUUUUAAACAUAGAUUUUAAAAUAAAAAAAAUUAAAACAUUAAAACAAAGAUUACUAAAAUAAACAAUACUAAUUUUAAAGCGGCAUCCAAGUUCAGUUGUUGUGUUGAUCACGUCCAAAUUUAUGCCAUAUAUGUUCAACCAAAUCACCUUUCAGUUGUUGAUGCGCUUGUCUAUCACGAAUUCUUGUUCGAACACCCAUCUGAUUGGCGAUAUUUGUAGGGAUAUCUGUAGAAUAUGUUAAAUCUACAUAUGAACUUCUGCUGCCUUCGCCUUGUUGGAAUCCCGAGACAUCAAACUAACUGCAUUCAUCCCGUUCGUUUUCUACUAUCAUAUUAUGGAGUAUGAUACAUGCUCUCAUAAUCUUCCCAAUCUUGACUUUAUCCCAACAAAGUGCUGGAUUUUUAACAAUGGCAAAUCGAGCUUGCAAGACUCCGAAAGCACGCUCGACAUCUUUUCGGGCAGCUUCUUGAUGUUGAGCAAAUAAAACUGCUUUCGGCCCUUGUGGAAGUGAAAUAGAUUGGAUGAAAGUUGCCUAUUUCGGAUAAAUUCUAUCGAUCAGAUAGUAAGCCAAAUCAUACUCUUUUCCGUUGACUGAGAAAUUCACUUGCGGGGCUUGACCAUUUAUGAUGUCAUCAAAAACAGGUGAGCGAUCUAGAACAUUAAUAUCAUUUAAGGUACCUGGAGGUCCAAAAAACGUAUGCCAUAUCCAGAGAUCAUAUGAAGCAACCGCCUCUAAAACUAUUGUGGGUUUCCCCGAACCACGAGAAUAUUGCCCUUUCCAAGUGGUGGGACAAUUCUUCCACUCCCAAUGCAUACAAUCGAUGCUUCCUAUCAUCCCGGGAAAUCCACGAACCUCUCCAAUAUAAAGUAGACGUUGAAGGUCAUCCGGUGUUGGUCUUCUUAGGUACUCAUCGCCGAACAAAUUUAUGAUUGCUUCCACAAAAUUUUCCACACAUAACCGAACAGUGGUUGCACCGAGCCUGAGGUAUUCGUCGACCGCAUCAAGCGCAGAACCAUAUGCCAACACACGAAUAGCUGCUGUACACUUUUGAAGCGGGGAGAGACCUUGCCUUCCGGUAACAUCCUUCUUCUGACGAAAGAAUUGGACUUCGUUGGAGAGGCGAUCAACAAUAUACAUGAACAAAGGCUUGUUCAUUCUAAAUCGACGUCGGAAUAGAUUUGCUGGAUAUGUCGGCGCGUCACUGAAAUAAUCAUUCCAUAACCGGAGAUGGCCUUCUUCACGAUUUCUUUCAAUAAAAACUCUCUUUUUCUUUUUCUUCCUUUGAUCUUGUUGAUCACCAUAAACAUUGCACAAAUUCUCAAAUGUUUGUUCGAAAGUCUGAUCAAAAUAUUUAUCGAACAUUUCAUCAAAUGACUCAUCCAAAUCAAAUGACUCAUCCGAGAUGUGAUUUGAAGACGAAGCCAUGAAAGACUUGAUUUCGAAAAUUUAAGAAUGGUGAGUGUGUGAACGUGAGAUGAAAAAGAGAAGGAAGAGAGAACAAAGAGAACCGAGAGAAUGAGAACGUAGAGAAUUGUGAGUAUGAUCAGUUUUUAUUUUACAAAGAGAAUGAAGAACCGAGAGAAGAACAUGAGACUAUAGAGAUAGAGAAUGGUAAGAGAGAAUGGUGAUUUCUUUACGCUCUCAGCACAAACAUUUUAUAACCGUCACCGUUAGAGAGAGAGAGCUCGCCGUUGUCCAUCGUCGACGAGAGAAACCCAUAGAAACGUCGACAAGCUCAACGGAGAGGGAGAGAGAGGAAACGCCGUUUCGUCGACGAGAUCACCGAGACAGAGAGAGAGAGAGAGAGAGGAAUCACCUUUUCGUCGAGGAGAGCACCGACAGAGAGAGAAAGAGCUCGCCGUUGUCCAUCGUCGACGAGAGAAACCAAUAGAGACGUCGACGAGCUCAACGGAGAGGGAGAGAGAGGAAACGCUGUUUCGUCGACGAGAUCACCGAGACAGAGAGGGAGAGAGAGAGGAAUCGCCUUUUCGUCGAGGAGAGCACCGACAGAGAGAGAAAGAGCUCGCCGUUAUCCAUCGUCGACGAGGAAUAUCCAUAGAGACGUCGACGAGCUCAACGGAGAGGGAGAGAGGAAUCGCCGUUGUCGUCACUCUUGCGGAGCAACCGAGAAGAGAAAGGAAAGAGAGAAAGAAACAAGAACGACUUCACCGUUCGGAGAGCCAAUAACGACGUGACACGUCGCCCAAAUUACCGUGUCUUCGAGCACUUAAUUAGGGGACGUCCCUUGGCUUUAUUUCGUGUUUUCCAUUUUUUUUUAUGAUUAAUUAAGUUAAGGGACAUGCUUAAGAGCUGCCUUUGAACAUGCUCUUACAUUCCUAGUAAAGAACUGUCUCACACAUUAGGAAAGUACUAUUUUAUUUCAAAAAUAGCACACAAGAAUAUUUUUUUCCAAAAGAGUAUUAACUAAAAGUAUAUGGGUGUGGAUUUAGUGAUUAUGAUUUAGGGUUUAAUAUUUAGAGAGUGGAGUUAGGGUAAGAGUUUAGGAUACAGAGUAAUUUAGUCAAUUUAAUCUUUAACUAAUUAUAGUUUGAGAAUUUUUCUCUUAUGUUCUAUUUUUGUCAUAAUUGUUUGUAUUUUUUUUUUUUUGGCAGAGAUACUCAACAGAACUUGUUCACAGUUCUUGGAGCCAUCUAUGGCCUUGUGAUAUUCUUGGGGGUAAACAACUGCACUUCAGCUUUACAGUAUUUUGAGACAGAGCGUAACGUUAUGUACCGCGAAAGAUUCGCUGGAAUGUACUCUGCCUUUGCCUUUGCACUGGCUCAGGUUGUGACCGAGAUUCCUUACAUUUUCAUCCAAAGCGCAGAGUUUGUGAUCAUAAUAUAUCCUAUGAUGGGUUUAUACGGAUCUGCCUAUAAAGUCUUUUGGAGUCUCUACUCAAUGUUCUGCAACUUACUCUCCUUCAACUACUUAGCAUUGUUCCUCAUCUCCAUCACUCCAAACUUCAUGCUCGCAGCUAUUCUCCAGUCUCUUUUCUUCGUUGCUUUCAACCUUUUUGCUGGAUUCUUGAUUCCACUACCGGUAAGUUCUUUUUGUAACAAGUCAUUAUAUACCAUUAUCAUCAUCGUUGAUCUUUACCUAUAGUUAAUAGUGUUUUUCCUUGAUGUUGAAACAAUGCAGCAAAUACCAAAGUGGUGGGUGUGGCUUUACUAUCUAACACCUCCCUCUUGGAGUCUCAAUGUGUUUUUCUCGUCUCAGUACGGUGAUAUUCAUCAAGAGAUCAAUGCAUUUGGAGAAACCACGACCGUGGCGAGAUUCUUAGAGGACUAUUUUGGAUUCCAUUAUGAUCGUUUGAUGACUUCAGCCAUUAUUCUCAUAGCGUUUCCAGUUGCAUUGGCUUCUAUGUUUGCUUUCUUUGUUGCCAAACUCAACUUUCAGAAACGAUGAUCCAUCACACACCAACCAAAGGUUUGAAACACCAAAGGGUAGUUUACAAAUUACUGUAUGGACAUGCACGUAUUCGUUGUCACACUAUUUGUAAACACUAAACAAAUGCAAAAUUUAUUUAUAAAAUCAUAAGAAAGUUGGAUAUACUCUAAUGCAUCAAAAUAAAUAGGUCUACAACAUAAUAGUAACUCUCUUAUUUUUUUACCAUAGAGAAAUGAUCUACGGCUGAAUACUUCAAAUAUUAAUUAGUAUACUGCUUCAUGCAAUUGAAAUGAAUAGUAAAGUAUACUGCUUCCUUUAUUCAGGCACAUCAUAAUUUUCAAGAAGAAACGUCAUUUUCUUUCUUUGAUCACAAAAGACACAAGAAGAAAGAGACAUGUGUGUGUCUUGUCGUCCUCCCCAUCUCUACUAACACUUUGAAUUUAAUACUGUCAAACUCAAAGGUCUCCUAAAGCCUAAUUAAUCCCUUUAUGAUCACAUGCCCUUCUCCUUCCUCUCUCUCUCUCCAUUCUCCUAGUACCCAUCAAGAACUUCCACAAAAGUAUUAAACUGUAGCUUCAGGAUCCAACCUCAGAGAAACGGUUCUCAAUCAAGGUUAUUUGAGUAUUGGAUAUUCUUGAUUCUUGAACUCAGGAAAAGUCAUUACUAGCCUGUGAUUCUGCUUCAUGACUUGAGGUUGAAGCAACAACACUUUCUUCACCAGAAGAAACAUCUUUGAUCUUUGAACUUAACUCUUCUUUUUCUUCUUCCACGGAGGCAACAUUUUCAGUUUCUUGAUCAAUGUUUUCUUCCUCAACAAAUCCAUUUCCAUGAGUUUCUUUUUCCUCUCCUUCUUCCUUGGAAGCUGAGGUGGAAACCGAUGAUAAACAAGAAACUUCAGAUGAACUCAACUGCUCUGAUCCUUCAGAACUGCGAGACCCUUUUAUGGAUUCAAGCUUUUUCAUCAGAAACUUUAGUCUCUUCUCUGCUUUCUCCCUUAAUCUGAUCUCUUCUUUCAGAUUUUUCUCCAGCUCUUCCAUCUGUUUCCAAGAGAUUAAAGGUUUUCUUUGAAACAAAAAUCAGCUUAUUACCAAACAAAGAUUAAAAAAAAUAAAAAUAACAGAGCAAAUGAAUUUACAAGUAACAAGAAUGACUCUUUUCUUGGUUGUUGAUUAAACCCAAAUCUUCAAAAAAGUAGUGAGAAAAAGGCAUUUCUUAAACAAGAAUGAUGAUACUAAGGAUUUUAUGAAACUUACCUUUCUGGUAAUGAGGUCUGCUUCAUCUUUUACAGACCUUGAAACUUGCCUCUCUGCAAGCAGUCUCCCUCUUAGACACUCCACAGUUCUCAGAUUUCCCUUCUCUUCUCCUUCCUCCAUCUUCUUACUUGCAAAAUUUGUUCUUAAACAAAAAAAAAGAAGAUAAAAAUCAAUUCCUCAUAUACACUCUCUACAUAGAACUUUCUUAAAAUCACACAAUACGACAUAUACAUGUAUAUAAAGAGAAAGAGAAACCUGCAUUUCGUGUUGUAAUUGAAGGGAUCAAUUGUCAUACUGUUCUUUAUAUAUUCAAAAACCAGAACCAGAUUGGUAAAAGCUUGUAAAGCUCAACUUCUCACCUAACUGCAAAAAGGGUAAACUAAAAAUAAUAAGACAGUUAAGACCAAUGUGUUGUUAGAUUGAUGUCACUAUGAUUUACAUUUAUUGUUCAUUCAGUAAGAGGAACAUAUCAACAUCAUAUCUUAAAAACCAACUUACCACGACACAGUCGACACUCUUCUUUAACAAAAAAAAAAAAAAAAUCUCAAGUUCAAAUAGUAAAACAGAUCCAGUUUCAAAUUCAAACCCCCUCACUUGGUAGAGAAGAGUGAAAUGAACUUAAAACCACAAAAGUUUUGAAGUUCUCCUGAAAAGAAGAACAGAAUCUGUGGUGUAGGGACAUGUUGUAAGCAAAACGACAGUGUGGGAUUGGACUUUUGUUACCUUCUCGUGAGUUGGUUGGUAACUCUCCCACUUCAAGACCUUUUUUAUGGUUAAUAAAUUUAACUUCUUACUACAAGGUUAGUUUUAUAUUAUAUGAUACCGCAAAUAUGCAUGUGAACAAGAGGAGUCAUCCUAUUUGUUAAUAUUAAACCAUAUUGCUAUACAAUUUUAGUUUUACCAAGUGUCACAGAUCCCUUCGUCAACAAUAUCACAACAAUACAAAAACAACAUUUCUUGGCCACACAGAAAGUUAAUGCUCCCAAGUCCCAACCUCUCGCUAUAAUUUUACUAAAUAGUUUGUGUUAAUUUUCUUUUUCAAAUUAGAUAAUUAGUUACCAACACGCAAAGAAAACAUUCGAGUGAUUAAGAGCUCACUUGUACUUCACUCAAAGAUCAAAGUAAUUACCAUAACCCUUUUAAUCAAACUAUACUUAUUUUGUGAAGCAACCUAAUGAAUAUAUUCUUGUUCUUAUUAGGAACCCCGCCACUUCAAUCCAAGCCACUUAGUAACUCUCAAGUUAUAGCGAGCUUGGGUAUGAUCUUACCGAUCAUUCAAAGUUAUGUUCACUGACAACAAUAAAAACUACAUAUCAUGAAAAGCAAAAUCAUUACACAUAAACUCUUUUAGAAGCCCCACAAGAAACCCUUUUGAACUCAUUCGACUUCACGGCAAGAAAAUCAAAAAGCUUCAUCAAGCUCUUGUUUCAUGAUACACUCCUUGUCACUCAUCGACUCAACCACACCCUCUAUCAUCUCAUACAUCUCGUUGCUUCUCUCACACGAACCAUCUUUCGCAAUGAAACUUCGUAAUCCUUUACCAGUAUCGAUCCAGCUAGUUCCAGGGAUUUUCUUCAAUCCGAUUUUUUUCAUCUUAUCCCUUACCAUCUCAGCUUCUUCCCAUCUCCCUGCUUGAGUGCAUAGAUUCGCCAUGAUAGUGUAACUCCCUGUAUUUUCUGGUUACAAAAAUAGUAAUACUUAUAUAUAAAAAUUAAUUUUAUUUAAUAUAUUUUCAUUUUUAUAAUAGUAUAUAUAAAUUUNNNNNNNNNNNNNNNNNNNNNNNNNNNNNNNNNNNNNNNNNNNNNNNNNNNNNNNNNNNNNNNNNNNNNNNNNNNNNNNNNNNNNNNNNNNNNNNNNNNNUAUCAUUUUCGUUAAUGUAAUAGGAGGGCCAACCCAAACAGAGAUUGUCAUGAGCGAGAUAGACACACCAGAGAGCUUUCAGCUUAUGGAGUUUGGAGUUAUUUUCGAGGCGACGAAUCACUUUUCCGAAAGCAACAAAGUCGGACAAGGUGGUUUUGGUCCAGUUUACAAGGUAUUUUAAUUUCUCUAGCUAUUUGGACCGAAUCAAAUUAAACUUGAAUCGGCCGGUGACUUGUCUUUCAUUCAACUAAAAAACUAAUAAUAAUAAGGGAAAAUGUGAUGGUAUUGCAGGGAACCUUGCCUGAUGGAAACGAGAUCGCAGUAAAAAGAUUGAAAGCGAGAUCAUCUCAGGGGAUGGCAGAGUUCCGAAAUGAAGUGACUCUGAUUUUACGUGUACUACACGUGAACCUCGUCCGACUUCUAGGCUGUUGCAUCCAUGGAUACGAUAGACUAUUGGUCUACGAGUUCCUGGAGAAUUCUAGCCUCAGCAGCUAUAUCUUCAGUUACUCUCACUCUCUCUCUCUCUAUUCUAGAAUUUACUUGUUAUUUUGUAAACUUUAAACUUGAUUCGUUUUGUUUUUGAUUGAUUACCUCAGAUCAAACUAGAAGCCCGCUCCUAAACUGGGAGCAUAGGUUCGAUAUAAUGAAAGGUAUUGCUGAAGGAUUGUGCUACCUCCACAACUUCACAAGCCCACCGAUACUUCACCGCGACCUGAAACCAAGUAAUGUGCUUCUAGGCAGAGACAUGAUCCCAAAAAUCUCAGAUUUUGGGCUGGCUCAGAUGAUGGAAACUGGCACCACAGAAGCUGCAAUGGAAACAGCAGUAGGAACUUAGUAAGCAUCAACAAAUUGUUAAAACUUUCUUCUUCUUCUUUUUUUUUUUUUCACUAAAACAAAAUCACAAUCAAUUAAUUAAAUCCUCUUUUGUUUGUUUUUUGUGCAGCGGCUACAUGUCUGAAGAAUAUGCGAAAGAUAAUAUCAUGUCCCAGAAAUCAGAUGUCUUCAGUUAUGGAGUAGUGUUGUUAGAGAUUCUUACUGGAAGGAGAAAUCAUGAGUAUUGUAUUGCAAAUCCAGGAGAUAGUCUUCUCGACUUCGUAAGUUUAAUUUUUCUUUGUAUUCUUAAAAUUUUAAAGAAAAUUUAUAUUUUAGAGUUUUUUAAAAAGGUUUGGAGGCGAUGGAAGGAUGGUACUGGAUUGGAGGUCGUGGAUUCGAGCUUCCAUGAUGAUUCAUUUAUAGAAGACCAGGUUUUACGAUCAAUGAAGAUUGGUCUAUCCUGUGUUCAACAAAAUAUGCACGAUAGGCCUAGUACAAGGACCAUUGUGGUUAUGUUUGAAAAUGGCCCACGAUCAGAAAUUCUAGAUCCGACGAGACCAAACUAUAAUCUCACAAGAGCUGAUUCAUCUUCUUCUCCAGUUACCGUUACCGACCAAUCAGUCACUAUUAACGAGGCCACUUUGUCAUGCACUGACGCCAGGUGAUGUUUUUAUGUAGUGCGUUUUUCUACUAGUUUACUUAAAAAAAAAAAAAUUUGAACUAUCAUUCCUAUGUUAUGUUUAAUUUCAUGUGUUUUUUCUUCUAGUUUACUCUUUGAAAAAAUAACUACUAUUAUUCAUAUGUAAUGUUUUUAGUUGUUUGGGUCUCAGUGCGGGAGACUGAUACUUUAAUGGUUUAUCUCUUUUGCUAUGCACUUAAUGACAACGAACAUAAUAUCUCGAUAUAAUAAUUAACAACUAGGAUGAGACAAAACCAAAACCAAAACCAAAGGCAACAAGUUACAAGACAAACUGUUCAAAGUCAAUCUAAUCACAAAGAUAAACCCAGUUACAUAAUAUCCCACCUAUUUUUGUUUUUUAGCUGGUGUUUGAUCGAUGUUCUUCACCUGCAAGCAAAAAUGUGGCUUUAGCUGCUUCCUCUUUUGGUGUCUGAAAUGCUUUAAGAACAGAGAGAGAGAGAGGGAGAGCAAAAUUGUUUUACUGGGCCGCAUUCUAAAUAGUACGGCUUUGGUAAUUAUGUAAACAUAUCUUAUACCGAGACAAAUAAGAAUUAAAUUAAGUUAUCCUAUCAAUUAAUUUCAAAACCUCCACUUAGUCUAAUGAUUAACGGAAUCAUUUGGUUAGAAUAAUUAUUUAGCCAUAAACACCAAAAUCACAUGGAACAUAAGCUCAAUUACCUGUUUGGUGCCUUCAACAGAAGAAGUACGACCCCAUCUCUCAGGGGUCCCAAAGUAUGCUACUGUUGAAAGCAAAGCUUGAUAUAUGAACCGGAGGCUUUAUCUCUGUCUUGUUAUUAAUUUUUCUCAAAUGCCACCCCAAAACUUGUGAAGAUUCACAAACCGGCCUCUCUACUAUCACUCGCUUCCUAUUAGCUGAUACCAAUAUGUAUACAUUGUUUAGCCCCGCAAAAUGGACUAUCCCGCUUUGUUUGUGAUGCUCAAUGUGUCUCAACGCUAGGUUCCUUUGAUGAUCAAGCUCAAAUUCAAAGCUCGUGAAGUUUUCUUUGAAGACUAUACGUCUAUACAUUAAACCAGUUUUUCUUAACAUUGUUGGUGAAGAGUUUUCUUCAGCAUCGGAGUGUUUCUCCACGACUAUCCACAAUAAAGGAGGUGGAACUAGCCUCAAAGUAUUGGCCAUUCUCCUAAGGAGCACAAUUUUGUAACGAUCUUUCGUCAUUACCCAGAGUUACAACAAUCACUAGACCUCUUGGUGCAACUUCUUCUUCUUCUGUCUUGGAGAGUGAUCUGGUUUCUUGUUCAGGUUCUUGUGACUUCAAAGGUGCUGGGGCCUGACCUUGGGAACUGUUCAAUGCUUUAUCAACGAGAGGAUUGUGUGUAUAGGUAGAGUUCUCAAAAGGUUGGGAAGGAAUCUGAGAUUUAGUGGUAGUAGAGGGGGUGGUUUCGAAAUUAUAGAAAAGUGAAGCCUUACCAGCAGGAGCAAAGCCAGUGAUGAAACACAUUACAAAACAUAGAGAGAAAUGGAUCACAGCUUUCUUCCAUACCUGAGUUUUCUUCUUUGAUCUCUCCAGAGAUCCCAUCAGGAUCCAACCCUAAGAAGAAGUUUUUCUUAAUUAAGUGAUUUUCCUUUUAUUUUUUGGGAAGAACAAUCUAGUUUGAAGAGUAUGAAAUAUAAGGGCUUUUAUGACAUUUGUAUAGUUUUUGUCUUUAUAUUGUUGGUAAAUGAUUAAAACCGGCGAGCUACGUAGGAGUACGUUCUCUUUGAUUGAUUGCGUGUGUUGGUUGUGUUCUGCAACAACUUGUUGGGAUCAUUGGAACUCACUAGCUAGCUGAAACAUGUUUGGGAAAUAUAAGAAAAUUACUGUUAAUAUAGCAAAUAUAUUAAAAUUAAACUUUGCUUAUUAAUGACUCUUAAUGCAAGUAAUUAAGUAUUAUUUUAGUUGUUGUUGAUGACUGAUGAGUAAGGUUAUGAUCAAGAUAGGAACUUUUGAGAGUACCUAAUAUAGAGGAUAGUAGUCUUCAAAAAGUGUGAAGUGAUGAAACUUGAAGUUGAAAGAGACAAUCCAAAAAAUAAAUAUUAACAUGUCAUCGUGGUUUAUAUUAUGCACUUUAACAAAUGGAUAUCAUUUUUACCGUUAUAUCAAGCCAUGUAAAUACAUACCACCACAAACAAGUCGUUUUCUCAAGAAAGUUAGAAAAGAGAUCAAGCUGGACGAGGAGUGAGCCUAUCUUUGGCCGCCGUGUCUCCACGGUGGAGGCCAGAGGAGAUACGCAAGCAAGAAGAAGCCCCCCGAGAAACGCUCUGUUACUAACUCGGUGUUCUUGGAGCAAGAACAAGAAGAGACAAAGGAACCUCAUGAUGAUGACGUCAUUGUCGGAGAACCCAAGGUUGUGCAUUUAAUAUUCAGUUCAUUUAAUACAUCAGUCAAGUCACAUUUCCAAGAAAAUACUCCACUAACGAAGGCGUCUUUGUCUAUUUUUAAUUCGUUCCUUAACGCGUACGGAACGCGGCCCAAUAAAAUAAUUACUUUAAUUCUAUUUUAAGUCUCUGCUUCUCUACCUUCUUUCCUCUUUGUAAGAUCAGAGAGAGAGCGUUUGUUGAGAAGAUCUUAUUAGAAGGUGAAUAUCAAUCAGAACAUGGCGAAAGAAGACAACCACGAAGCUCAACGAUGCGAGUGCGAGGAUCAUGAGGAAUCGAGUCCUCUCUUGCAAGUUAACGAAAGCAAGAUCUGCUCAAAAGGGGACACCACCAAGACGGCGGAGGAAUAUGGCUGGACGGCGGAUGGAUUGCCGGUGAGCCAAGGGAGCGUGAUCGGCGAGCCGAUCGGGAGAAACCAAUGGAGUUCCGGUCUUUUUUCCUGUCUCGGCCGAAACGACGAGUUCUGCAGCAGCGAUCUCGAAGUUUGUGAGUCUUUAUGUUCUGUCUCAAUGAUUAGUGUCUGAAAUUUGGGAUUUUUUUGUUAAUGGGUUUCUUGAUUUGGUGGAGGAUGAAUUGUAAAGUUUUGAUUUUGAUGUGUUUUUCACUGUUGGUGAGUCUUGCUUGUGUUCUGUCUGACUGUCUCAAUGGUUAUUGUCGGAAAUUUUGGUUUUUUUUUUAUUUGGUAGAGAUUGAAUUGGAAAGUUUUGAUUUUGAUGUGUUUCACGGUUGGUGAGUCUUGUGUUCUGUCUCAAAUGAUUAUUGUCGGAAAUUUGAGGUAUUCCCUAAUGGGUUUCUUGAUUUGGUGGAGAUUGUAUUAGAAAGUUUUGAUUUUGAUGUGGUUCAUGGUUGGUGAAAAGACUCAAAUCUUUUACAUCUUAAUGGCUUCUUCUUUGUUAGGUCUCCUUGGAAGUGUGGCUCCAUGUGUGCUGUAUGGAAGCAAUGCAGAGAGGCUUGGGUCUGCUCCUGGAACGUUUUCGAAUCACUGCUUGACGUAUUUGGGGUUGUACUUUGUCGGCAACUCUCUAUUUGGAUGGAACUGCCUUGCUCCAUGGUUCUCUUAUUCUAGCCGCUCUGCCAUUCGCCGAAGGUUUAACCUUGAGGUAAUGAUCAAAUUAUCUGGUAUUUAAUCCGGAAAAAAACUGAAAAAUCUGUUUUUAUAUCUGAAUUAUCUGAAAUUAUCUGAGAAAAAGGAACCGAACCGAAAUUUUGUAUUAGUCAGUUUUUAACAUUGUUGCCCGAACCAAAAACGGAAAUAACCAAAACCGAACCAAAUUUCAAAUAAUCAAACGGUUCCUAUAUCUCUAGAACCGAAAAUCGAAAAAAAAAAAGAACUGGAAGUGAACGCCAAGCCUAGUUGUACUCUAAGAAAAGAGUCAAUCAACUCCUCUCUUUAUAUAUCUUCUUGGUUGUGUACCACUCUCUGAGUUUUAUAGGAGCCAUGGAGAGACAAGUCUUGUCUCAUAGGCACUCUAGUGUCUCUAGUUUUGGGCAUGUGUAUUACGAGAGUCUCCGUUGCAUUCCAUCUCGUGACCCUAUCUUUUGUUUUCUUUUGGUGUAAAAAACAGGGAAGCUUUGAGGCGAUGAACAGGUCGUGUGGUUGCUGCGGUAGCUGCAUAGAGGAUGAGAUGCAAAGGGAACAUAUGGAGACGACUUGUGACUUUGUGACGCAUGUCCUUUGCCAUACAUGUGCACUUUGCCAAGAAGGCCGUGAGAUCCGCAGGAAGGUUCUUCACCCGGGUUUCAAUGCUCAGUCCACUGUGGUUGUGCUUCCACCAAGUGAACAAACCAUGGGACGUAAGUAAGUGAAAAGCUUGCGUUGAGUCAUGUGUCCUAAAUAACAUUUGUAAUACACAAGGUGAACUAUGACGUUGUCUCUUGCUUGCUUUUGUCGCGUGUUCUUUUCUUUUUUUUGGUCUUUCUUCAGUGCAUGCAAAUGUAUGUAUAUCUUUAUUGUUACGUACUUGGUUUUGGAUAUGGUCUUGUAAUAUUCAAUAAAGUUUCGCAACUUGUAACUCUAUAAACGUGGAGGCAUUCCUUUCCGGCGGAACCUUCAUUGCUCAUAGCUCCAAACCAAAGUCUGUGAGAUCAGAUGUGGUAAAGAACGGUUCGGAGAUUCUAAUGAAAUGAAAGAUCUGUUUUUGGACCGGAGAGAUCAAGACAAAAGUGAUUGAUUGCAUUUAAUUUAUAAGACUUUUUAUAUCGCAACUUUGCGAGUCUUUAAUUGUUGCACUAGAGAUCCAUUGUAAUCAUUGUGGUUAAUUUGACUCCUUGAGUUUAUUAGUGUGCAUGUGAUAUGAUUUCUUUAGAUUUGGUUUUAAUAUACAUUUUGUGAUAAAAGGGUCAAGAUCUAUAGCUUAAUACUAUAAUUAAUGUUAAUUAGUACAUUUGACAUUUUCUUAUAGAAAUGAUUAAAUAGGUCUAUUGAUUAGACGCCAAACAAGACUGGCCAAAUUAAUCGCUGAUAAUUCAAAAGAAACCAGACGAAUUAUCAAAAGAUCUUCUAAUAAUGAAAUGAUUUGUACAAAGAGUCAAAAGGAGACACAUGGAGAAGUGCCCAACUCGUCUGGCAUGGCACCUCACUACUAAGCAAUCACGAUUUGGCUUGUGGAGUCAACGAGCUUAUGACAUUAGCUAGUUAAUUUCCCCCAAGUUGACAUCUACUUUUUAAACACAAUUUAUUUAUUACUUAUUAUACAAUUGUAGAUCUCAUCAUAUAUUUUUGAUAUGCGAUUUCUAGUAGUUUAUUGUAGACGACUGUUCUUUGUUUUCUCUUACUCUCUAAUCUGAAUCUCAUUGCAUGGUCGGCAACAUUUUUUACUUGGAACAUUUUACCAUCAAUAAUCGAAUUUUGAUAUCAUGUUAAUAAGUUCUAAAAACUUUAAUGUAUAACUUAACUUAUGUCCCUUAUACAUUACCUGUUAUUCCAUCACAUUUUGAUUUUGAAUUUGUAAGAAGUUUAUAUUUGUGUAUCAUAUAAGUUUAUGGUCUUGAAUCUAAUAGUUUUUGGUACUGUUAGUUCUAAAAUCAUUGACGAAUAUACCAAAAAAUGUGACAAGAGAUAUAUAAAAGUCCCAUCAAAUAAAUUUGGAUUGGUAGUUGUUUCGAAGUCACUCCCUAAUGUACCAAGAACAUAUCUUAAUCCAUCCCAGUUUUUGUAUCUCUUCUUAUUGACUCCAAACCAUUAACACACACACACACAUACAUACAUAUGAUAUAUGAUAUAUAUGGUUAUUAUCUUUCAUAGCAAACAUAAUCAGUUAGUUCACAUAACGACAAUCCUUCCUAAUCUCUCCUUGGUCACCGGUGAGAGGAUUGGUCUCGGACAAGAGCCUGAUAGCGCGUGAAAAUUGCUCAUGGAAGUAACCAUUGUCCGCAGCCAUCUUCGCCACAAAGGGUGCGGUCCUCGGAUCCGUGGCUAUCUCAUCAUCGAUGACAAGGAGUCCUUUAUGAGCCAUGAUGUUUUUGUAAUACAUAUUGUCCACAACCAUCGGUGUCUCAGGGUCGUUGCGGGAGUAUAAGACCUCUUUUGGGUUCGGAUUUGGAGUAGGGCAACGUUUUUUCAAGUAAAGGGCGUACGUAGGGUCGAGAGUCGGGUCAAUCGUUGGGUAUAGCCGGUGCACUAGGUUAACGCAGUGGACUCUACCCACUGAGUGUGCACCUACGGUAAUAAAAAUUGACCGAUCAAUAACAAUGACAGUUAUAUAUCUUUAUUAUCUUAACUAGUAAAUAAACUUUCCAAAAAAAAAUAUCAUAUGUAUUAUUUAAGUAUAUGGUUGAUAAAACUAUUUUAUUUUGAUUUUAUCAGAAAAUGAACCAAAAAUACCCAAAUUAUCUUCUAUUGAACCACCGGACCGUAUAAAAUUUGGUUUAAUUAACGGUGUAAAACGCACAUCUAUCCUAAAAUCUUGAACAAAUUCAAAAACCAAAAUGUCCAUCCUGGUUAGUGUUACCGUGCUGGCUCAAAUCUAUUGACCUAUGCAUUUAAAAGAUAGUUUCUACUCAGAUUUAUAACUCAGGUACCUAAGAGAGCAACGGUGGCUUCAACAUCGAUGCCGAUGGAGUUAAAGUUUGAGAGAACAGACGAGAGAGAGUCAUUGUGGUUAGGAACUAGAGCCUCAACAUCUCUCAAGUAGCUCCCUCUACUGUCUCUCCUUCCUGUCUUUAUCAUAUCUAUCUUUGGCCCUUUCAACUAUUCAUUUCACCAACCAAAAAAAAAACAUCUUAAUAAAAAUAUAAUUCCAAACUAAUUAAAUUAACCUUACAAUGCAUAUACUUACCAUGACAAUACCAUCUCUAGCAGAGAGAGCAACAAUAUCAGCGCAAGAGACUGUUCCAGGACAUUCUUUCUCGAGUGCAUCUUUGAUAGUCUUGAUAUACUUAAAGUUUCUCAUACCAAAACUCCUUGUUGACUUUUGCUCUGAUUCCACACCUCUUGCUGUCUCUAGUAGCAGUGACGCAUCACACGACUACAAAAAAAAAUACCCAUGAACAUAAAUAUUCACGAUGACUUUUUGGUAAUCAUGUUUUUAAAAAUAUUCACGAUGAUGAUGAUGCCAUGUGAUUAUAGAGUAAAUGUAAUUACCUUGACGACGCAGUCAUGGAAGAGAUUACGGAGCCAAGAUACGGCUGUGUUGCCGUGUUUGUAGUACAGCGUCUCCACUUGUUGUCUGAUUAUCUCUUCCGCUCUCGGACAACUCUCUCUGUAAUAAUUCAUCUUCAGUUCCGCAUUUCCUACAGUUUAGUUAAUCUUUAGAUUCGAUUUAAAAAAAAGUUAAUCUUUAGAUUAUUCGCUUUAUUUACGUAUGAGUGAUUACUAGCCAUUUUAUAAUAUAAUAUUUGUUGAAUUUUUACGGUGGAAAUUAGUUUACUAAAAAAAACCGUAGUUAUUUUGGUUUCAGCUAGCAAAAAUUAGAAAUAUAUUCUCGAGACAUGGAUACACGUGGCAUAAUGUGAUAAGAGAAAAGGGAAUAUAAAUUACCGAUAUGAAAGAUGGAAAAUAACUGUAAUAACAGGCAAAAGAAAGCCAAAAAGCAGAAGGGCAUCUUCACAAUGGCCAUCUUUUUCUCUCCUAUCUUUUUGUACUUUGUUGAUUGGUGUGUCUCUUUAUGUGUCCAAUGUAGGGUUAUAUAGAGAUUCAAGAGACUUGAGAAACUCUCUUUAAUCGUGUAAUAUAUAAUUAAGUAUUUUUAUUUCUUAUAGUCAUAGUGGUUGCCCAUGUUAAUUAUUCUUUUUUGAAAUUAUCAGGGGAUUUCUUAUUCUAGACGAAUAUUAAUAUUGAAGCUUGUAACCACUAGCUAUAUAUCUGAACUCAAUAGUUGUUGAACAUGUGAAUUCAGUGAGACGAGUUUUCCUAUUCUAUCCGAUGAUAAUACAAAAUUAAAUUAGUUCGGCUUUUCACUUCUUUUCACUUUUAAUUAGCCUUCCUCAUACAUGUUUCAUGUUCACAAGAUACAAAAGGAGGAGAUCUGUAAUAUAAAUUACGCUCUAACUUGUAACUAAUUGAUUGGAUUGGAUUCGAAUAAAUAAAAUCAAAAUGUAAAUGCUUGCGAUGAAUAUGUAUAUUACACAUCAACUUCAAGAUGACCGACUCAAUUAACUCCCAAUCAUGCUAAUCUAUAGGUAUUCAAUAUAUAGCAUACAAUAUUAAAUACGGUUUCACUUAUAUGAGUUCAUUCACUAAUAUAUGAGUAAAUUAUUAUUACCCGACUGCUGCAUAAAUUUUAUACCACCGAUUUAGUUUAUAGAUUCUAACAGACUUACUGACAUGUUAUAUUAUUCCAUUUGAAAUAUCGUUACCAGUCUGGAUUCUUUGGCUGACUUAAAAAAAAUAUUUUGCUUCAAUUGUGUAACAAAUGUAGAAGGAUAUUAUAGACUAGUCAUAAAUAUGUAUAUAUGCAUGGCCCAUUGUUAUACAUUUUGGGAAAAUUAUUGAAUAUAUAUUAUAUAAAAUCAUCUGAUGGUAGCCACAAUUUUUUUGUUUAAAUUAUCUGUAACAUGAUUACCGUCUAUAGCGGGUUUGCGUCAUUUCGGACAUGCGCUUGAUGCAAAAUCAAUACGACUGUGGAUGUUAAAAUGGAUAUAUUGACUUCACUAAAUGUUAAUAUCAUCAUCAGCCACUUUAUCCUUCGGCCACUUAGUCACUUGUGAUAUUUUUAACACAACACAUUGGGUGAAUUCGUAUUAUACGCAUUUAAUGUGGCACCAAGAGUUAAUUCAGACCCAUUCAUAGCUAAGCAGUUUAUAAUAGGUUGCCGCUAUUUCAACGUAUCAUUCAUCAAAAUUUGAUGUAUCUAUUUUAGUAGAAAACGAAAGAUGUUUCAUUUUAUUUGGUGUAAUAAAUCUUUAAUGCUCUUGAAUACUGCUUAAUACCGUCAGAACUCAGAACAUUAACUUUAGUUUUAAAUUAUAAUGCAAUUACUAAAACACUGCAAAUUUAUUUCAUUAUACAAUAUACAAAAAAUGAUCAUGUAUACUCUCUCUCUUUUCACAAUGAUAAAUUCCCAUUUUUGUUUUUAAAGAAUUUUAAGGUUUUAAUACAUAUUCCCUCAGUUUCGUAAAGAAUACCACUUUGACAUUUUCACACAAAUUAAAAAAAUGAUUAAAAUACAUUAAAGUUCUUAUUAGUUACACUUAAUAUGAAACAGAAAGAGUAUUUAUUAGUACUUGUUACAAAUUGCAUAUAUCAAAAUAUUUAUUAAUAAUAAAUACAUUUUUAUUUUUAUUAGUUUAAAUUUAUGUAAAAUUGUAAAAAAUUUAUAAUUGAUCACUAAACAUUAAUUAAUAUGUGUAAGAAAUGAAAAUUUAAAAAAAAUGUGAAACAGAAAGACUAUCACAUAAUUUAAUAAAUGUAAAAACUACAAGAAUUUAAGUUAAUAAUAUAUUUACGUCAAUAAUACUUAUGUUUCGGGUUGAUAUCUUAAUUCGUUUUGUAAUAAUAGCACUUUUAAAUCAAUUUGGUUAUAGAUUUUAAAAUAAAUUAUACUCAUACUUGGAAGCAAAUUAAAAAAAGGUUAUAAGAUUGCUUGGUGUAUGAAUAAUUGAAAACCAUUUUUUGUUUUUGACAACAAUUGAAAGCCAUUAAGUUUGACCUUUUUAGGCACUUGCUUAAUCGCACGCGCAUUUGAAAACCACCAAAUAAAAUCAACCCCACUUUCUUAAUAUUAUUGUGACUGAUGACGGCUGUAACAUUCUGGUCUUGACCGUCCAGUCCAUUCACUUGAACACGCACAUAAUGCUUUGUUGCCGAUUCACUUAUUUUCAUUAAAACUCAUCAUAUAAAUGAUUUCCCCUCCUUUUUCCUUUACAUCUAAAAGUCUAUGUAGUUUUUCUAGAUGCUUAUGAGUUACGCAAAACGAUCCUCUCCCACACAAAAAAACAAUAAUAUUAAUAUAUGUUUUAAUGUCCAAGUGUUUGAUUAGUGCUGCAGUUUGUAAAUAUGUAAUAAAACUAAUCAGCUUAAUUUUCUGUUUAAACAAGAAGUUUUGUAUAGAAAGACGACUUGGAUUAUAUUUUUGUAAGAAUUCUGAAUUCCUGUCGUUUCAUUCCAUAACAAUAUGUGUUAAUAUGUUCGUGUAUUAUUGACUUGUUGCUUUAUAGUUAUUUAUUUAUUCCCAAGUCAGAUUAUAUUCGUUCGGAAAAUGAACGUGACUCGUAUAUGAGUUGACCUUAUGAAUAUUGUCUAAGGCCUUAUCCAUUAGAUUAAAAGUUCAUUAUACACUUAUUAUUUGUAUUUAGUUUGAUUAUCUCCAAGGCUACAUUAUGAGCUGUUAGCUAGUAUCCUAAGUUAUGAAUAGCUCCAGAAAGGCCUUAUCCUAAGCUAUAUGAACAUUGUGAGCUAAGCUGAACACUUGCUUAGAUGUAACUUGAUCUUGUAUGUUUUCUCUAAAAGACCAAUAGCCAUCUUGUAUGCUUAGUUGAAUUUGUAUUAGGAUCUCUUAGUUGUAAGAGAUCAUAUGUUCAUCAAAUGGUUCUAUCACUACCAUAAGUUCUCUGUAAGGCCUUGUUGUUCUUCUCGCUCUGCUUUCUGCAGCCUGGUUAGUUUCCACAGGAGGCUUAUGUUCUUUGAUAGCAAAGUGAAAACCGUCCAUCUCUUCAUAGUCAUUUGGUAUAUUUGAACUUGUGAGCCAGUAGGCACAUGAGCUUCUCAGCAAGAAGAAGCAUUCUCUUUUCUUUUUUUUUCUCUACUCACCAAUAACAGAUAUUAACUUCCUUCUAUUUACAACUUAAAAUGUUAUAGUCUAUCACAUAUUUUCCCUUUAAACAAAAGAGAGAGGAAUUAUAUAUGUAUAGUUUAUCUAUCAUAUGGGUUCUUAAAAGCAUCAGGUAAAAGCAGGUGAUUUGCAGAUAGGGCAAGAGUUCUUCAAAGACAGCCAUUUCUUUAUGCACCCUCCAUGGUAGUCAUGACCACACCCUUUAAGUUCCCCCAACUCUUCUCCUUCCUUGUAUUCCUCCUAAAUGUUACCGUUACCACACCACCAUUAGACUCUUGGCACAUUUAAAUCUUUGAGACAUGCGAAUCUUACCAGGCAGAUUGCACAUUUUCUUUCCUCAUCCGUUUGAUACAAUGGGUAGAAUAUCGUCUCCAACAAGCAAGUGGAGAUUGCGCCCUUGGAUAGACCAGUGUUAACACUCCCAAUCCUUUCAACAAGAUCAAGAAGGUCCUGGAUAGUGUCAACCAUUUCAAGAUACAUCAGUUGCGAGACAUUUUGUCUGGGGCUUAGAAAAACCAAGAGUUCUGUAAUUAACCUCGUAGGUCAUGUCAUCGAUGUCGAGCCUCAAUUCUCUGUGGUGAUCAUGCAUAUUCCUGGAUCCAUAGUGCUGUUGGUGAUCUACAGCCAUAAAUCCCUGUUUUUGUACAUCCACAACAAAAUAAUAGAAGAAAGUUCAGUCUGCAGCAGAAUAAGAAACAUGAGAGUCUAUGUAGGCAAGUUUCUGAAGUGUUGGUCCCAUCAGUUUAUUGGCAAGUUUGGUAGGGAAAAAAAUUACUACACCUGAGAUGAAAAUGGUUCAUGGAGAGCAACUUCAUCGAAAGGAGGCUGAAACCUCUCAUAGGAACUCCUGCGUCUCCCUGGGCGAUCACUGCUACGCCAUGAGAUGUGUGGUGGUGGCCUCAGAUGCCUAGAAGGAUAUGUCUCAGUGACAAAAGGAGACCUAUCUCCAGAAGAAGAUGCUGAAUGUUCCAAUCGCAAACCGUUUGAAGAAGAUCUAUAGGUGGGUGUUGACCUAUGAGAGAAGCGGGAGCUAGUUGCAGAUUGUGUUGAAGUUCCAGGAAAACCGUGGGAAACUGUAGAGUUUCUGUUUCCGAUUAGCCCUUGGUGAUACCAAGAGGUAUCAACAGAUGUGCUGUUGGCGACACUUCUCGUGGGAAGAAAAUUAUUUGUCUUUGGACUAAAGCCAUUUAAAUCUGCAGGGUGAGAAUUCAUGUGGUUAAAGAACGUAGUCAGUAAAAAUUUGAAUCUCAAGAGAGACCAAAGUGAAAUUUGCAUACCUCUAGGUACUGGGGAGUGUCUAGGAAAGUUCCAGUUCCAGUCCUUAUUCCUGUGAGAUGUUUGACCAGGAAACUGACCUGAGCUAGAGUGAUCAACAUUGUGAUGUGUAGGAUGAGAAUCAAGGUCCAAGCUUCUUGAAAAAAUAUUUCUAUCUACACUAGUCUCUAAAUCAAGUGUAGGACGACUCCGGACAUUCCUUGAAGAACUCUCUCCCCUGAUCGAGAGAUUAUUACUUCUGUAACUUGGGUUCAUGAGCCACGGCAUGUAAUGAGGACCAUGAUCACGAGUUGUUGAUUUUCCCAUGUCCAACUCCGAGGAGAAAGGGAUAUCUGAGGAAGUUCUGCCACCGUGGUAAUGGCUUGAACUACCCAUUUCAUAGACGGAAGAAUCGCAUGGGGUUUUCCGCUUCUGUGCUCCUCUCACAUUUUCCAUAUGUAGAUCAACAUAGCCAUCCAAUGACCAUGUCUGACUGUUGCAGUACGAAGAAGAUGCAGAUGUCACAUAAUGUUCAAGUGGAGCAGAGAAAGUUGCAGCUGCUGAACUCAUGACAGGAACAUGGGUGGGGCCGCUAGUCCCUGGAUUGUAGUGUAGCCUCUCUACACCAUGACCUGAAGCAGUAUACGCAUUUGGUCCUGUAGAAGAGUUCCAGUGCGAAGAAAAUGGCAUUCCUUCAUUCAACACGUUUCCUGCUGGAUUAACAUGCGAUCUGCUCUCACUGGUCCCAGUUCUUGCUGAGAUAACAUAGAGCGAACAAUAAUACGAAUCAGAAAUUCCGGACACGAUUGCACAGGAAAAAGUAGAAUUAUGUAUGUGAUGAUUAUAAAAUGUGGCUUCCUAAUUUUCACUACCUGAGGGUAUCACCUAUCAAGAUUCAUUUUUGCCCCUACUGAAACCCAAUCUACCCAUGAGGGAGAAACUUCUCAACCUAAAAAUACGCAUGCAACAUCAACGCAAUAGCUCUUACACAGGUUGAGUAUAACAUCUAUCCAUGAAGAACGUGUUAAAAAUAUUGAUUUCAACCACAGAAUAAGGAUCUCUAUAGGAAUGGAGAACUAAUUACCUAAACUCGUAUAUGGGUGCUCUGGGUGUAUAUGGUUCCAGCCUUGAUCCUGUUCAUCAUCGAAAAAUUGGAAAGAGCCAGGAAAAUGUCUGUGCCCCAUGAUUACACAAAUCUUCAACCUUGGAGUCCAGCUAACCCUGCACAGAAAGUUCUCUCAACAUUCAGAACUCAUCCAGAAAAAAAUUUGCAAGUCCAUAAAAAUAGUUCUUAAUUACUAAGCAAUCUCAGUUUCAAUUCAAGAAUGGUAUAUAAAGUAACAUCUGCUUUAGCUCAGAAGUACCAAAUGGUUGCUGAAAACGAGUCACCCAUCUAUUUUCAGUUUUAUAGUCACAUUUCAAGACCAAAACUCCAAUUUUUGCAACUGAAGAACCUUAACCAUCGCCAAGUUAAGAAACAAAGUUUCUUCAACCCCACACAUGAGCAUACUCAAGCUGUAAGAAACGAUUUAGAAUAUGCAUAGAGAACACUACACAGUAUUAGGACGGACAUCAACUUCAGGUAUAAAGGAAACUGACAAUGGUAUAUUGAUAGAGAUUCUUUAUCAGAAGAGAGUCCAUAGUUUCAAUACCUAGUAUCAAUAUAGUUGAAAUAUCUAGUCUCAGUUACCUUUGUCACCCGUAUCUAACAUACUAUACCCUCAGAGCUCAGCUCAUGAUAUCAUAAAAACAAGUUUUCGAAGAGUUGGACUGGAAAGUUCCUGAUGCCUUAAGAUGGGAAUAACCUUAACUAGUACAUAUCUAUCAGCUCAUAAGGGUAUCUUGCAAUCAAGAGUUAAUAAAUAAAACAGAAACCUACAUUUUCUCUUUGUGUAAGCCAAAAGAAAAUAAGAGACACAAAACAAGCAAGAGUGUUCUCUAGUACAUUGGCAUAAGAAGUUCAUUUAAACAAGACAUUUACUCAGGUUUAAGAACUUCAUAAAUUUUACAGAAACAGUCCACCGAGAAUAAGGCAAGAAAGAACAGAUACAGAACAGAUAACAUUUGAUAUGACCAUUUCAGCUUCUAUCAACACAUACAGAACAGAUGCAUACUGCUGGCAUGAUCAAGAAAAUUACAUGGAUGAUUCAACAGCAGGAAAUAAGUUUAAUUUUCUGAGCCAAAACCCUCCAACAAUACUACUGCAGGCAAAUUAAACUCCCAACCAAGAAUACACUAAACUACACAAGUGAAAAAGCCAUCAUCCUUUCCUGAUCAACUGAUUCACCAUUUCCACACACCAAAUGUAAUUUCUUCUCUUCAAGUUCAGAAUCAUAACGGGCUUAGUCCACAGAGUGCUGGCCAGCAAAGGCUUACCACCACAUUCUACUAUUCUGAAGCUUUUACUUAGUCAAAACCUGCCAUCCGGCCCAGCACACCUAGAUCUACUCCAAGAGCUAGUAAGCAGAAAUGGGUUGUGUGAAAGGAUGCUUCUAAGCAAUUUGCUUUAUGCUUCAUAGGAUGGUUGUCAUUUCGCAAGAAAUAUUGAAGUUUUUACCUUAAUUCACACUUCAAGCAUCACUGACUAAUUAACACAUUCAGUUAUGAACGUGGAAUCAAAAGAAGGGUGGUGGAAGAACUGGACCAGACAAACUUCACAAAGCCUUGACUACCAUAAACAUAGUUAUCAGCCAUAAAACGUAAAUGAGUAAAAAACUAACCACGCUAAUAGAGUUUGGUUGACUUAUCUUACUUCAAGUUCACGUUGGUUUCUCAAUCAACCAACAAUCUGCCAAAAUAGAAGGAAAACGGCAGCCACCGAUUCUAUGUAUUACAAAGGCUUAGCAUAAGGCACUAACAUCUGCUGACAAAAGUGUUAGAAUAAUACAUUUUCUCUGCUACAAUUUCAAAUUUUCUAUUAUAUUUUUGAGAAAAAAACCAAAAUAGCACUAAAUCAAGUUUUUGUUCCCAAACUAGCACUCAAGGCCAAAAGUCACAAAAAUAGCACUCAAGAGAUGGGGUUUAGGGUUUAGGGUUUAAAGUUUAAGUUUUAGGGUUUAGAGUUGAGAAGUGAGAUUUUGGAGAUAAGAUUUCAAAUUUUGAAAAAUAAAAAAGUUUAAAUUUUUCAAAAGAUAAAAUGCUAUUUUGGUCAUUUAGUUUUUGAGUGCUAUUUUUGUGAUAUAAACUUAGAAAAGUACUAUUUUGGAGAUUUGCCUUAUAUUUUUUCGAUUUUUUUUUUUUUGAUUAUACAAAGUUUCCCUAAAGGCUUCCUAAGGGACUAAUCUGUGUAGCUGCAACCCGAAUGUGAAAUCCGCAGUGGCCGGGAAUCGAACCCAGGUGGCGGUACUCACAGCUGUGAGCCUCUGUGAGCUAAACGCCCCGGUUUAUUUUUUCGAUAUUACUAAAGAGGAAGACGUAUUUGCUGACCUUAAACUAUAUGGACGUUACUAGUUCAAGACUGAGAGAAACCAUCGUUGCCACUAAACCUGCUGGAUACAAAGCCUAGCUAGUUUGAUGCUAAAUAGGAAACUGCUCAAACUAGCUCUAUAUAGCUUAGCCCCGUCGCUGAAGUAGCCUGAACUAAUCACCGAUCUGGUCUCCUCUUCUUCUCAGCAUCCGAAUCUCUAACUACGAUUCAAACAAUCCAAUCACGAAAAGUCACUCAUGUAGCAGACGGAAGCAAACAAUCAUCACGCAAAAGGAAAACAGAUGAUCCGUCGUAACAGCGUUUAAACAAAUCAUUGGUGAAACUGCAAUCGAUUUGAGCAUAUAUAUACAUAUUUACACGAAAACCUCAGAGCUCAAACGAUGAUCGGAGAAGAGAGAAACGUACCGCUAGCAGCGUGCGGAUGAUGGAGAAAGGAGAACGAUCGGAGGAUUCAAAGAGACGACGAACGGAUUCGUAGAGAUGACUCAGCUUGAGGAUUGUGAUCGGUUGAUAUAUUUAAGAGAGAAAGCAAAUGAAAAAAUGAUAAAACAAAACAAUUUAAUUUAAAAGCGAUUGGGUGGGUACGUUGCUGGAAAAUUUAGACCACCACAGCAUCACCGGCUGAUUAAUGGGCGUAGAUUAAUGGGCCUAUAUUUUGACUUUAUAUGGGCCUCCACUGGAUCAGCAACUAUCCCUUCUUCUUUUUUUGUCACCAGCAACUAUAGCAUUGUUCACAUAGUGCAUUAUGUUGCAUCUGACAGAUUAUGAGCAUAUAAUCCUUGAAUCUGCUUUGUAGAAAGCUCUUAGAAAUUUAAUUUUUCCAUUGUCUUUGCACGUGCUGUGAAAUUUUGUGUUAAUUACGCAUAAAGUUUGAUUCGUUAGAUUUAGUCCAAAGUAAACAAUAUGGAUACAUAGUCCACAAUCCCCCUAAAAUGGUUAUUUCUCAGAUUUUGACAGUCUUAAUUUGAAGACAAUUUGGAAGAUGAAGUUGCAGUGAAACACGCAAGCAUUGCAUUGCUUUUUUCUCUUUCUAAAACCAAUGGAAGUACAAGGAAGUGGAGGUGAAUCAAUAACAAUAAACCGUGUGCAUUGCCGAGAUUAUAUAGUUUGUGAUUAUACCAUUUUAAUACAGAGAAGCUGCAAAUACCAAAUUAAACCAACGCAGGUUUGAGGUUCCUACGUCAAGUUCAACCAUUUCAUUUCUAGUGUAAUUUCUCUAUUCAAAACAACUAUAGAAAGGUCCACUAGACAUGGCAGACGAAACAAUACCCCAAUAACAUUGUGGCAUUACGAAAGUAGCAAAGCAAAGCAUAAGAUAAAAUAAAAGCGGCAUUAUAACAAACCAAAACAGACUUGUUCUUGUUCUUAACCGAAACAUAAAAGCUAAAACCUCAAAAGUGAAAAUAACCGAACAAAACACUUAAUCUCAAAUUCCCUUUUUUUUUUAAAUUAAUUAAUUCUCAGGAAUCUCAACCUCACCCUCUUGAAUCUCCUGCUGGAUAUCCUUGGAAUCUCCUGCUGAAUAUCCUUGGGAUCUUUCCCAUCCACAGUACACCCAACAGACACACACGUCCCAAGAAUCUCCCUCACGGUCCCGCUCAGCUCCUUCGCAAUAGACCUCGGCCUCAUGAUCCUCGCGAUCUCAAUCACGUCAUCGAACGAAAUGUUCCCGUUGUGCUUAAUGUUCUUCACCUUCUUCCUGUCCCUCUCCGGCUCCUUCAAGGCCUUGAUCACCAGCGCCGCCGCCGAAGGCACCACCGUCACUUUCGCCUGGCGAUUCUGCACCGUCAGCUUCACCGUGACGCGGAGCCCCUUCCACUCCUUGGCCGUCUCCUUGGCGAUGUCUUCUCCGAUCUUUUUGGGAGCCAGACCGAGGGGACCGAUCUUGGGAGCGAGGGAACUCGCGGCUCCGACUUCUCCGCCGGUCACGCGGACGUAGACGUCCACGAUCUGGCUCGGGUCAAGCUUCGGCGGCAUGGCUGUCUCGGUGGUUAAACGGAGUUUGAUUAGUUUUUUUUUUAAGUGGAGUCCGGAGACGAGGAGGCGGUUGAAGACGAGCUCCAAAGGCUUUUAUUGAGGUCGACACUAGGGUUUACGAAAUGAUGAAUUUACUACCCUUGUAAACAUAUAUGGGCCUUAAGAGAAUGAUCUUAUGGGCUUUAUUUUAGACUAUCGGUUCUUUUACGGUUUAGUAAAUAAUAAAUCCCCGGUUUGAUAGAACCGGUUUACUUCCGUCGCCUCUUUGCUCGGUGAGAAUUGCCUAAAAUAUUUCCUCAGUUUCGGAAAGAAGUAUAUUUUAGUUACCAAUAUAAUUUUAAUAAAUAAAAUUAUGUUUUUUUACUGUUUACGAUUAAUUUAUGCAUUGAAACCGUAAAAAUGUAUUUUUCUUGAAACGGAAUUUUUUUCUAAAAUAUGGAAUUUUUUGAAACGCAUGGCUUUUAUUAUACUAAAAUAGUGAAAGUGACGUCACUUCGUUUAACCGAUAUGAUCAACAACAGAAGCAUAUAGUUUUGACAAUAUACUGGGAAACAUUUACUUUUUGGAACUUUCUGUUAUCUUAUGUGUGUUAUUUAAUUAGUGGGUGGCUAAGGACCAGAAGUUGAGAAAGAAGGAAGGGAACACAGCAAGCCAGCUGAUGAAUGCCAUUGCUGUGGCGGUCUGGAACCUUGUGCAGUGGCUGCCAUCACAUUUAUCAAGAUCGUUGAUGAGUACGGUUAUGCCAGCAGACGCAGAUGCAGCUGCAAACGUAAGUAGGCAUGUGAUCUGCAAGGGAUGAAAAUAGACAAAACAGUCACUUUGUUGCCUUCUUAGAAACUAACUUUAAACAAUAAAGAGAGAUGUUGAUUUCGUUCUUACUCCAUCUCCAACUGUGAAACAUCGAACAACCAAGUGAUUCCGAAGGCUUCUUCCCACCAGAAGAGCAUAAGCAUCGAUGAUAAAAAGAGACAAGCUCCACAGGCUUUGCAAGCUAACCGCAAAAACCAAACCACUGUCACAGUUUAUAGAUAUGUUUUGUCAGAUUCAUAUUUUUCCGUAAACCUUAGGUCUAAGAGUUGGAUUUUACUAGAAUGCGGUGAAGGAGUGGAAGUCGGGGGUGGUGAGCAUGACGGAGAGGGAGAUGAGAGAGGAGACGAACUGAGAGAGGCGGAGGAUGAGGCCGCCGGUGGUUCCUGGCAUGCCCUGAAUAUCUUUCAUCCUCACUGGCGGUCUAUCGUUGGCUCCGCCAGUAGGACCCACGGGGACAGCAAUUACCGGACGAACCGCCGGUCGGCUCACGUUCAUCAUGUGAAAGUGAGUCACUCUGAUAACACACACACAAAUGAGGAACUAACUCGACUGAGUUUGCUAAACUAAUUUCCUAAAGACAAAGACUUAUUCAACUAACUGAAUCUCUAACACAUGUAGGACUUUCGAACGUUUACCGCAAAAGUUCAAACAGACCCACCUUGUAAGACACGAAACUGCUACUUUGGCUGUCUGAAAAAUGGAAUUAGUGUGGAUUUUUUUUUUGGUCCACGAGUUAAUUAGUUAAUGUGAUGUGUUUUGACAGAAUCGACCCAAAACAUAGUAUUUAAUGUUCCUAACUUUUGAUAUCUAUUGACUUAGAGUAACCGACUUUGAAAGUUAGUAUAAAACAACUGUAGAAACUUUUAAUGUGGCUUACUAGAUUUUUGGUGCUAUUCUAAAGUAUUUAUGUUUUUAUAUUAUUUAUUUCAAAUAUGUUAGACAUAAUAUUAUAACUUAUUAGUACUAUUUUCGACAGUUUAUGUUAUUACUUUUGAAACAGAUUAUAUUUAAAUUAGUAGUAUAUAUUAAGCUAGAAAAACACUCGAAAUUUAUUUGAACACUUAAAAUAAAACUAUAUUUUUUGUUUCUUAUUCUUUUCCUGUGUUUAUUUGUGUUGUAGUAUUGAUAAUUGACUAAAUAAAUACAAACAAGAAAAUGUGAAACUUUUGUUGGUUACAGAACAGAGUUGAUGAUCUUACAGAGAAUUAAAGACAUUUAGUUUGGGGUUAAAAAGACAGUUCUAAUCAUUUACAACAAAGAACUUCCACCGAACUGGAAAUUGUUUUUACUUUACCCCAACUAAUCGGGAUCUAUUCCUUCCAUUUUUAGUAAGAUUAAUAAAAUCGUGAAAAUCUGACAUUUUCAUAUCUAUAUAUAAAAUCUUUAAAUAGUUAUCUAGAUAUAUUUAAAGUUAUCUAGAUUUUUUUUUUUUGAAAAAGUUAUCUAGAUAUAUUAGAUCUUGAUAAUAAUCAUUCUCCAGCCCUUUCCAUCUCCCAGCAGAGCUUAGACGCAACACUUUCAUGGGAAGGUGCAUAUUCCUGCAAAAUGACAACAACAACGUUUGAGAUUAUGUAGAGACCCAGAAACAAUUCAUUUUCUUCAAUUUACCUCAAGCUUCUUCACAAGCUCUUUAGCAGUAGGUUCAGAGACUAUGAUCUCACGAGCAGUCGGGCUGAUGAAUCCUUCUUCAACGGCUUUAUCGAUGAAUGAAAGCAGCGAGUUGUAGUAUCCAUCAACGUUGAGUAAACCCACCUGCAGAAAGUUUGUUUUAGUGAUUUUGGAUUCUUGAAUUUUUCCAUUUGAAGUAAGAAUAUUAGGGAGGUUUUUUUUUACAGGCUUGUCAUGAAUUCCAAGCUGAGCCCAAGUUAUGACCUCAAGCAAUUCUUCAAGUGUUCCAUAGCCUCCUACAAUUAUCGCACAAAAUUUUAGAUUUGAUUUGUCAAAAGAGAGCAGGUUAAUCUGUUACUAUGAUAUGGUCAAAUCAGUAGGUGUGUCAUGUACAAUACAAAACCAAAUAAUAGAGUCCUCUCCUCUCUGUUACUGUUUUGUACAUUGGUACUGACUAUGAUUACAAAAGCAGGAUCUUGACUUUCCAUUAAUGAUUUCAGAUUAAGUGUGGGCCAAAAAAUGCCAUUUGUGGGACUGUUUCAAGUUUUGUCUCUUAACUUGAAAAGGGCAAAGAAAAAAAGUUUGGUCAGAGUAAGACUACACAAGCUAUAGAGAGAGUACCCCCUAAGUUAAAAACAAAGCAGAGCAAUAACCAGAGUAAAAGAAAAGGAAAAAGGUAUAAUUCUAAGUGCCAGAUGUUGAUGGUUAAGGCCUUUUAUCUUACACUCUGGUGACUUUAAAUAUUUAGAUUUUUUUCAUUUCAAAGAAUAAUUAAAAAUAAAAAACUUUUCACAGCAGCUUUCACACUGCAGCUUGACCAAAACAUAAUGUUUUUUUUUGUGUAACUAAGAAAUCAUGUUUUUACCAAACUCUUUUCUUCUCUUUUUUUACAAAAUCAGUCCAGAAAAACAAACUUUUUCCUUUACAUGAACAAACCCUACUUUGAAACUUUGAUUACCCAUUCAAAUUGUUUUAAGAGGCUAUUCUUAAAAUUCUUUGCGUCACUAGGGUUUUGACAAGUUUUCGUAUGUUAUCAUUACUUACAUUGAAAGAACAGCAAAAUUUUGAGGUUUAGAAAUGUUUUUUGAGAAAGAAAACAUUUGAUUGAAAAUUUGGGUGGAUUGGGUUUAAAACAAAACCUGGUAAGGCAAUAAAAGCAUCAGAGUGCUUGGCCAUUUCAGCUUUCCUUUGGUGCAUAUCUGCAACUGCUCUUACUUCUCCUACUGUUUCACCAGUCAACUGCAAAAAACAAUGAUCAUCCACCAUUUUAAAAUAAAUAAAAGGAUGUUAAUUAAAAGUAGUUAAAGGGCAAAAGCAACUUUGGGCUCUUCUACAGGCAAACGCAAUGAUGUCACCGCAAGUAGUCGUAAUGUUUGGAUGUUUUUGAAAUCUCCUACAGAACCCUAACAUCUAGUUAACCUCUUUCUAAUCAUUUUCUUCAUAUAUCUUUUAUUCAGAUUACGGUAACCAAAUGAGGAUAUUUAUAUUUUAGGACACCUAAACUACUCGCAAUCAUGAGAUUUAAGAAAAGGUAACAAACAGGGAGAAGAGUAAAACCUAAGCAAACACCGAAGAUUAAAAUGGUUUUGAAUGGGAAUUUGGAGAACUUAAAAGAGAAAUUAAAUUAACAAAGAACAAUGUUUUAUUUUGAAAUUUUCUUCUUUGAAAAGUUCAUACCUCUCUAGGCAUGAGGGUCUUUGGAAUUAUUCUGCAGAGUGACAACAAAAGGACAAAGUUGGGUUUUAUUAGAAAUAUUCAGCAAUAUAAUCCAACACUUGUGUUCCAUCAGAAUCUCAAAAGACAGUUUUCUUUUGUAUGAUCUGAAGCUUACAAAGUUGUCAAAUAGUUUAAAGUUAUUUGACUAAGAAAAAGUUACCCAAUAACAUGACGACCACCAUUAUGAACAGCUUGUGAAACCAAACCCAUCAAGCCUAUGCUCCCACCUCCAUAGACUAGAUCAAUUUUCCUUGAGACCUGCAGAACAAAAAAAAAAACAGAGUUACACUUUUUUUUUUUUUUUUGUCACAAAAACAGAGUUACACAUUAGCCUAAACUUGAUGAUAAGUAGAGCAAAAAUCGUGUAACAAACCAGAACCAGAAUAUUCUGAAGUUAUACCAUCUGGCACGUUUCAAAGAAGAAAUAAAUGAAGCAAAGAUGCACAUCAUCUUAUCUCAAAACCAACCAGCAUAAUCAAAGACAUAAAUACGUUAAAAGUCAUGUAUGUGUUACCAGUUCGUUGCCGAGAUCUACAGCAGCAUCUUGGUAACUACUCUUCUUGCCUUGGCUGCUUCCACAGAAGACACAUAUUCUUUUGAACUUUGACUUUUGCAUCGUUUCAGCUUUGAUCUCCAUUGAAUAUGAUCCUAAACUUAUGAUAAAAUAUAAAACUUCUCCAGAAAGAGAAAAGGUAAACAAUUUUAAGGUUUCUUUCAGCACAAGAAUCUAAUUUCGCAAGACAGUUAUGAGUGACAAAGAAACCUAACUAAAUCUGAAAAAAUAAUUUAUUUUGGGAGUUGUUUUUAUCCUCACCACUAAUGUUUCCUGGCUCAAGGGUUGUUGUUAUAUAUAUAGUGCGUCAUCGAUUUAAGCUUACUUAUUUUAAAUUACAUUCUUUUUGAUGUUUACUAAAGCUAGCAGCCUAGCACAACAUUUAAUAAUACAAAUUUAGAAAAAAAAAUAGAAGGCUUUCGUUAAAAAGUUUAUUUUUUUGUUUGUUUGAAUACUUCAUUUCUGUUUUAUUCCCCAUAAAAAAAAUAUUUUUGACCAAAAUCUUAUAAAUCGUUGAUUUGAAUAUUUAAUAAAAAUCGAUAUUUUUUAGAUUUAUGUUGAGGUCUUUACACGGGAGAAAUUAAAGCACGCGUCUUUCACUACCCGCGCGGCACGCGUGACCGAAUUCUUCUUUGUGUUAAUUUUCCCUUACUAUAAAAUCACGUACAACAAUGAUAGACUAGUACCAUAAACCUUAUUUAUGGUCGUAAAUAACAAUUUUUUUUGUUACUUGAGAGGAAUUUGGAUCAAACCGUAAUCUCCGCUUAAACCUGAAACCAUGUGUCCAUGCAUUGAUAAUAGUUUAUGACAUGGCGUAGAACAUUUCUUUCCAUAUAAAUGACAAUUCUUCGUAAUGGACUUUAUGGUUAGACUCACAAUCACCCAACUAGAUAGAAAUGCCAUGUUAAUGCAGGCUAUAUCUCACAAGGAAUUAUUAUCAGUUGUGUUCUUUGUUGUUAAAGAUCAUAUAUAUCGUGUUUAGACUUCAUAACCCCCUCUUAUGAUUUCGUAAAGAAAGCUCUCAGUGAUUAAAAAAAAACUGAUUCAGUAAAGCUUCGUCAUUUUUCGUUCUUAAUCAAGAAUAGGAAAAAUAAUUAAUUUUCUAUAUAAAAAUAAGAAAAAUGGACAGCAUAUGUGGACAGUGUAAGAUGGGUACAAACGUUAUUAACUGAUACUCUUGAAAAACAAAUAGAGAAAGGGAAAAUAAAUAACCAAAAAUAACCAAGACAAAGGCCACACUAAUAUUCUAAUGGAACCAUGUAGAUGUCAUGGAUAAACCAAUGAGAUAUAUACACACUCACUUAUCUAAAGAGAUAUAUAGAAUGAAUAAGUUAAUGAGAUGAUGAUGUCUGGGAUAUGGAGCAAUGUGCCAUUGAUGAUUGACAUAAGAAAACAAAGUGAUGGCUUAUGUUACCAGUGUAGCCUAAUUCACCCUCCCUAUGUAGACAACCUUCUUCUUGUUCUUUGCAUAGAAAACGUUUCUUCUAUUUUUAUUCCCCUAUAUUCAUUUUCACCAUCCUAAGCUAUAGUAUGGAGUUGUGAUAUAAAAUUCUUUUAAUUUUUUUAGACUAUUAUUUUUGUCUUUCUCUUUCAGAAUAAAGUAAUCAUUAAAUCAUCGUUGAAUUAUUUAAAGUUAUGAAUUCAGAAACAUAUGCAAAUUAUCGCCUUGUGAAAGAAUGAAAAAUAAAAUUUCUUGUUACACUUCCCAUUUCAGGAGAACCUUUUAUAUAAUCUUGAUUUAUUGAAAAAUCAAAAAUUUAAAACCGAAAGCUGAGAGCUAAAACUAAUAAGAAAAAAAAAACACUAGUUUCGUUAAGACUCUAUCGUAACCCUAUUGACAUGUUGGCUUGGAAUACCAGGAACCUCCCCAACACUCUUAUACUUAACUGUAAGCAAACACUUACAAUAUACUUCAGAUCAUAUAUAUUUGUUUAUAACAUGUGUAUAUAGCGUAUGAGUAUUUAAAUAAGAAAAUAAAAUAAUUACAAUCCCAAGAUCUGAGUAGAUGCAACCCAUUCCUUCUAUAAACAAAUAAGUAAGUUUGUAAAAUAGUUUGUAUUAGUAUAUCUGCAUGCUUGCAUGCGCAUUUUUCUCUUGUUUUUCUUUUUCAUCUCUAGUUUCACUUCACAUUCUUCUUGGGUUUUUCACUUCCGACCCAAUUUUUAUUUUAUUAUAAUAACCAUGACGAUGGUAGUGAUACCACAAUUUAAUCAGAUAAUACUUUCAUGCAGUCCAAUUUGAAAGUGUUAAAUAUUUGAAAAUGAGCACAAGAGGUUUUAUAACUCGAAUCUUUUUAUAGUCUGUACAGAAAAAAAAAACAAAAAGACAAUUUUAAAGGUGGACGUUUGAAGAACAAAUUAUCCUUUUUACAAAAGGUUAAUAUCUGUCUCCAAUCGAUUUUGACAUGAUUUCAAAGACAUAUAGUGACAUAGCAUUAACGAACAUCUAACGGAAUCCUAAAUCACUUUAACUAAAAGAAGUUCAUAAAGAAAGAAAAAGUAUUAAGUUAGUCAUACAACUAGUUCAUUCUGUUCAUAAAGGGGUUCUAAGUAUUUAUAAAUAUCAAUUUUUCUUGGAGUGGUUCUCAACCUUUUCAAACAGGUCAACAUUUUUUACUUCCUUUUAUAAAAGGUUUUUGUUAAAUUAAGAAAAGUUCUUUCGAAAGAUGAAACUUGAAUCCUUUAUAUAUUUACUUAUCAGUUAAAGAAGUUCAUUCAUAUUAGACCCAAUACAAUUUUGUUCAUAAAGGGGUUCUAAUUAAGUAUUUAUAAUUAUCAAUUUCUAUGCAGACAUAGGAAAGGCUCCGCGCUUUCUAAUAAAUAUAUAUAUGGGUUAUUAUAUAUCCAUGCCUGACAAAAAGAAAAUGCUUAAUUUGAUUUAAUUUAAGAUUAAGGAGAUGAAGAUGAAAAAAUUAUUAACCCAUAUUAUUUUUUCAUUUAAGCUCUGGCUGUAAAAAAGCUGAACAACUUUUACCAUAUUAUUUUUUUCCGAAGUAUAUUAAAAAGAAGACAAUAUAUUUAUUCACUGUUUUAGGUUUUGUUCCAAGCUAUCACCACUAUUUUGUCAGUAGUACCAUAGAUUCAUGAUUAAAAAUGACUCAAAACCUUUCUUAAUAAAUAAAUUUUAAACCUUAAAUGAAAAACUUAAGCCAAACAUAGUAUCUCAAUAUUGUCUAUAAUUUCUUAAAAUAAAGGAUAAUAUCCUCACACAGUUUUUUGUAGUAGUGUUAAAAAGAACAGUAAUAGUAUAUUCGGAAUAAAAACCUUUUAAAUAUAGCAUCUACGGUAUUUUUUUAGCUUUUAUGAACUAUUUUAAUGAUUUAUUCUUGUUUUUGUUGUUGGUAAACAAAUAUUUUGAGAUGAUUUGUGUAUUGGAUGCAAACGGCAUAUUUAAAUUAAGGAAAUGCUAAUUGGGAGGCAGGAUAAAAUUCUUAUUAAUGUCCAUCGAAUUUUUUUUAUUAAAAAUGUUUGAAUAUGUAAUGUGCAUUGGAGUUAACUAUGACAUAUUCUUAUUACGGGUUGGUUUUGUCGUUGAAACAAACAAGAACGUUAUAUUAAGUUCAAAAAACAAACAAGAUGUUAUGGAGUCACACAACACUAUUUCGUACAGAAAUGAUACCUCUAGUUUUUAAAUGUAAUUUUUUUCCUACAAUUUUGACAUCUUUUAAAAGGAUAGUCCACGUAUGAGACUAUGUUAUGAUUGCAUGGGUAAAUACUUUAAUGUACAAGACGUGAAACUUAAUGCAAAACUAUCAAUAAAGGUCGAUAUGAUUCUUUAAACCAAAAAAAGUUCGAUAUGAUUCCGACAAUAUUUUAGAUUUAUGACUUUGAAACCCAAAAGGAACAGACAUUUACCACUUUGAACCGAAAAUAGAACCCCCAAACUUGUUUUUUUCCUCAACGGACCAACGUUAAAUCCACAAAUUAAGGAAUUGAAGAAAAGAGGAGACAAAAAAACAAGAAAGGAAAAGGGAAGAACAUGGAUUUGUAAAUGGUGAAAAGAGGGACAGUCAAAGGUCAGAGAGGGACAAAUCAUUUGUUUAGUAGUUAUCAUAAAGUGUCGGACAGUUAAUACCGUUACUUACGAGUCAAAUGUCUCUAUUACGUUUUCACUUAUCACUAGUUAGUGGUAACUUACUUAAAUUACUUUUUCAAAAAAAAAAAAACUUACUUAAAUUACCCUCCCAUCAAUCGAUUUAUAUUUUCAAAAUUUCUGUAUUGUGAAAAAGCCAUGCAUUGUUGACGCAAUUUUUUGUUGUUGUUACUUGUCAACUAUUGAUACGUACUACUAACCAUGUUAUGUAUACAAUGCAUCUUUACAUAAACCUCUUUCAGUAGACUAAAUUCACAUUCAAAUCUUUUGAGUUAAACAUGUUUAAAUUGGAAAAUAUUGAGAAAUAAUAACAAUAAAUAUUUAUUGCCCUUUUCAAAAAUAAAAAUAAAGAUUUAUGGUUUUUAGUAAUUACUUGAACUAAAUUUGUUAAAACUUACAUAUACUUACUACUUAGGCAGAUAAAUGACAACUUUUAAAACAGUUAAAGGACAACUUUACGUAUACAGCAUGUAUGUAAGGAGUUUAUGAAGACAAAAGGAGGAAAGAAUCUAACUUAUAGCAAGAAGAGUGGUGAACGUAAGAUGGAGAGAGUGAACAGUCAAAAUACAUUCAUUCAUUCCUUUGUUUUUUUUUCUCUUUUAGAAAUUAAAAUUUAUGUCGUUUGUUUUUGGGACAUUACCUACGUUCAUUUCAACUCUUUCAACCUUUCGGUCAUCUCUAUACGAAUAUACCCCCAUUUGUUUUACAUUUUUAUUUUCUUUUAAAAUUUAUGAAGUUACAUUGGCGCCUACAAUUCAAAAGAUUUAGUUUGACUGGUUUACACCAUGUGAAUCCCAUAGGAUAAAUUAUAAAUAAUUCAUAUGGUUUCUGACGUAUGCGUUAUACAUACCUAUAUUGCAUGUUAAAUAAUGCCCUUUUCUGAGAUGGUGAAUAGAUAGAUAUGUCGAAUUUUUAGUAUAUGAAGUUGAAAUUAUAAGAAAUAUCCUAAAAGUAUUUGCAUCGACAUUCAUUUGCUAAGGAAAAAGGUUAAAAAUGUCUUCAAAAAAGGGUAAUGGACGUUUAAUAUAGGAUUAAGUAGCAAAGGAGCAAACAUGGAACAUGUUCAUCUCCUAUGAAUGAGGUGAAUAAGUCAAAAAAAGAAGAAGAAUAAGUCAAAGUAGGUCUAGUUGCUGGACCGGUUCUAAGGACAACCGGAUAAAAAUCCAUCUUAAUCCCAAUUUUUUUUAAAACUAAGAACUAUUAUACGUAGACCACAUGGUCCAUAUACUAUCCAUAACUUUUUAGUAAGAUAAACCUGAUAAUGUUUGCCAAAGCUCCUUUAGAUUAAUGUUUGACAAAGUGGUCACUAAUGGUUAUACAUCAUGAAGUCUAAGUUCUGAAUCUUAUAGAAGGCAAAAUUGUGCUGGAGAUUUUUUUUAUAAAAGAUGGAGCAAAAAAUACCAUAAAACGUAGAUCUUAUAAGUCGGUUCAAAGUGAUGCAGUAAAAUGUAAAUUCUUAUAAAAAAUAGAAUCAUCAAUUAUAUAAUCGUUAUAAUAUUUUCAUGGUUUGCAAUAGCAUAGCUAUUCAACGUUAAGAAAAACCAAAUAAUGUUUUUUGGCCAUAAAUUUUCGAUCCGGCUUUGUUGCGCUGUCCACGUACAAAACUAUGGCAUAUAUAAUUCACGAGGUUUGAAAUAGUGUUCCUUUUAUUUGUUUAGUUAGUUCUCAAUAUUUUUCUUUCAAAUGAAUGACAAGAGAAAUCGUAUGAGACGAAUAUGAGAGAUAGGUUAAGAAUCAGGAUGUUUUCGUUCACAGUAUAUAUAAGAAAUUAUUAUAAGAGAUUGUAGCUUAUGGAACAACAUUAAGGGUAUGACUGGUUUCCUCGCUGCCACACGCAUGCGGUUGGUAGCGGUUAUUGGCGUUUUGCAACAAUCACUCAAACCGCUCUAAAUCGUUUCAAACCUCAUAAACUCAAAACUGGCUUCAGCUAGCGUUUGCGGUUACGGGAGGAUAAUUUUUUUCAAAACAAUAUAAACAUAAAAAUAAAAAAUUCAAUAAAAAUUUUAAAUUGGAAUUAUAAAAAUACUAAAAUAUAUCUAUUUUAUAUUUUAAUUAAUAUUAUAAAAUUUAACUUUUAAAAUAUAAUUUUUAUAUUUAUUAUAAUAUUAUAAUUUUUUAUAUUUUUAUAAUUAUAUAAAAUAUAAAUAUUGUUAAUUUAUUAUUUAACUGUUGUUGCAUCUGAUAGUUAAUCAGUCAUAAGUAUCCUGCAAAUGCACCAAUUUCUAACUAUAGAACCAGUCGUACAAAUCUCUUAAAACCGCUAGAACUGUAACCAUCCGCAUCAGCAAACUCCUGCGACCGCAACCGCAACCGAUACAUUUAAACAAGUCAGGCCCUAAGACGAUAACGUUUGUGGGCAGCAUCAUUAGCAAAGAGAACUACGUCUAUUAGCAUUAGAAACAAGUGAUGCUCUUCAUCAUCAUCAUCAUCAUAAACUACUUCCAAAGUGUUAUUACACGUAUGUGGUAUGCCGUAUAUAUAUGCAUAUACAGUUCUUUAUAGUAACCUACAUAUAUAUGUAGGUGUAGCCAUCGCAAUAUCUAGGUGUAUUGUAUAUUAGGGUAUAACAACGAACUUAGUAGAGUAGUAUGAAAUUACCUUAAACUUGGUUUAGUUUGGUUGAAACGCGUAAUUAAUAUCUUAGUAUGAAACUAAGAGUAUACACUUUAAGCAAAUAACUAGAUUUUGAUCCGCGCUUUUAAAGCGCGGAUUUAUUUUUUUAUUUUUUAAUUGACAAAUAUUUAGUAAAUGUCGUAUUUUUAUAUAUUUGUCUUUUAUUUUUAUGAAUGCUUAAAUUAUAUUAAGAAAAUAAAAAAAUAAUAAUUAAGAAUAGUUGAAAAAAAAUUAUUUUAACUUGGACUCAAUGGUCCAAAUGAAAAAAAAAAAGUGAGAAUUGAAUCUGAUUUUUUAAUAGGUCCAAAUGGCCCAAGAGAGAUUUGAUUUGGGCUGGAUCCAAAAAUAAUGAUCCAAUAUAGAUUUGUUAUUAAUAUUACUUAAUUGCCCUUAAUGAAACAUGCAAUGUUAGUGAAGAAAACAUACCCCUAAGGUAAUUAUGACAAUAGGAUCCUGCUUUAAUAAUAUAGAUUGAUUUCUCUUGAACCAACUUGCACUCAAUUUGCUCAUUCAACUGCGUAUUGUAUUUGAUUCAAAUAGAUUGCUGUGAUUUUGGUGUUUUACGUGGUUAUCAAAUGUGUUCAUACUCAUAAGCGCAGAAGAUCAGAAAGCAAUAAACAAGACAGAGAAGAUUGAAUCAAAAUAAAGCGAAGCAGUUAAUGACAGCAUUCAGACAGACAAGAACAUGGUCUUCCUUACAAAUCUUAACUCUAUAUGUUUUUCAAACAAAAGACCAUCCGUGCAUCCAAGGCACAACAACACAUAGCUUAGUACGGUCCACCGAAACUGCCAUCCUCUCACAAAAACUGCUUCAAAGCGCCUGUUACAAUUUCCUUUACUCAGAUAAAUCAGUCUAUGAAGUGGUUAAUGCCCAAAAGACCCAUCUAUAAGAACAAUAGUAUAAGUCAUACCUCUCCAGAGAAUAGGAAGCCAUAGAUUGGUGCUCAAAACUGGCGCCUUGGAGGCCUAGCCUCAGCUUCAGACACUCUAAUCUGCCUCCCGUCCAAAUCCUACAACAGGGUACAAAGUAUAAGCACAUCAAGAAUAGUUUCAUUGAUCAAACUGUCGGAAUAAAAAAGAUACUUACAGCACCAUCCAAUGUUCUGAUGGCAUUCUGAACCUCUUGAGCAGAGUUGUAAGUCACAAACCCAAAACCUUUCGACCUACCACUGUCCCUGUCGUAGAUGACUCUAGCCUCAACAACCUUCCCUUGCUCCCCGAACAAACUCUCGAGCGCCAUGUCGUCAACACCCCACGAGAGGUUACCAACAUAAACACGGUUCCCUGAACCAGCACCACCACCACCACCUCCACCAUAUCCUCCACCAGAGCUUCCAAAGCUGCUUCUAGGUCCUCUUGAGAAGGAGUCUUCCCUCUUCGGUGGAGGAGGACCCGCGUUAACUCUCAACGGUCUACCAUCCAACUCCUGCAAACAAAACCCAAUAAGAACAACAAAACAACACAAAGGUUCCAACUUUUUGUCUUUAGCAACCACAAGUUUUUGUCUUUAGCAACACAAAGGUUCCGACAUAAGGUAGAGAAGUAAGUAUGUUCUUACAUAGCCAUUGAACAACACAAAGGUUCCAACUUUUUGUCUUUAAACGCAUACUUACAUAGCCAUUGAACUGCUGUUCAGCUGUCUCAACUUCAGAAGCUGAAGACAUAGUCACAAACCCAAAACCUCUGCUUCUCCCUGUCACCUUGUCAUAGAUAACCUAAACAAAGACAACAAAACGAACAAUCACUAAAACCAAUCUCAAACAACAACAACAACAACAACAAAAAAGAUUCAAUCUUUAUCUCAUUUCUCGAAAACCCAUAACUCAAUUUUGAGUUUUUGACUCGUUACCUCAACCAUCUCGACGUUUCCGGCGCUCUCGAAGAGCUGAGCGAGCUGAGCGCUGUCGACGUUAAAGGGGAGGUUACCGACGAAGAGCUUGAGGUCAGAAGAGAAGGAUUGCUCCCGCCGCGGGGGAGGAGGAGCGUCGUCGUCAGCGAAGAUGCCGUCUUCUUCGACUGAGAAGUCGUCAGUAACCGCGACGUUACGGACGAAGCGAGAGGAAGCGGCGGAGAUGGAGAGGGAGAGGGAGGCGGAGAGGGAGUGGAGAUUGAAGGAGAGGGAAGGAGGUAGGAGGGAAACGGAGGCGGGUCUGGAGAUGGAGAAAGGAAGGGACUUGGGGGUGAAAGUGGAGAGAGCGAGAGAGGAAGCUGAAGCAGCCAUGGUGAAGAGAUGAGAAGAGAUAAGGUUUGUUUUUAGCUUUAGGGGUUUUUGAGAGUGGAGAUAAGAUGGUGUGUUUCUGAUAUUUAUGGGCCAAAUGGGAAUAAAUAUCUUUGCACAAAAUAUCUCAUUCUGAUUUUUAUUUACAAAUUUUGCCUCAAAACUUUAUUUGAUUGCUAAAUAUUCUGCUGCUAAUAAAAUUUGUCAAAUUUCAAUGAAUUUAUCUUAACGUCAUCUCUGAAAAAAAGUAUGUAUUUAAAAAAAAUAUAGGUUUUCAUAAAUUUGUAGACAAUUUCUUUAGAAAAUCUUAAUUUUCAAAAUAUUUUGUAUUUUUCUCACUUUAGUGGUGUUAGUUAUCUUUUUAUUGGAAGUCUCUACUUACUACUUGUCAUACGCUGAAGUGAGAUGACAGAUGAGAUGAGAUCUAAGCCGUAGAGUUUUGGAUGGACAGUGGAGAUGGCACGUCUCAUGCCAAAACCAAAAGAAAAAAUCUAUAAGAUAGGAUUUUUUAACUAAAAGCCAAUGGAAGUAGCAACUCUCGUUCCAGCACAGAUCUUUAACUCCAAUAAAUUCAGAAAACAAUACAGUUCCUCUAAAGAAAACCAUUGAAUCAUACAAAGGUUGCUCCCUUCAAAACAAGUUAAUAAGAAAUGAUGUAUUUGGAUAACAACAGAAGACUGAAGUUCUUGAACUGCAACACGCUUUUAGGAUCUCUUCAAUUGGAGGGUCAUCUCGAGCUUCUUUGUCCUGAAAUGUUCCAACAAACAAGUUGUUGAGUACGAGAUUGUGAUUAAUUUAUCUCUUUGAUUACAUUGACAUGGUGUAAACACAAGUAUUUGAUCAAAACGUGUUACCUGGUCCAUACUCCCCGGUCCGAUCAAAACAAGAGAAACACCAGAUGCAUCCAUCACAUGCUAAGAAAACCUCAAAUGUAUCACUUAAUGAAAUGACCAAACCAUCAUCAAGAUUUUGACAGUGGGGUGAAUCAUUUUACCUUCUUUUACGACAAGCAAGCUUUAAUACCCAACAUAGUAGUAGUAACCAAACACAUUCACCAAAUCUAAUAAGAAACUUCUCCAAAAAGAUUUAACCACCCAAAAUGACGAGCAAAUGCAACAACAGCCUUCCUAUCCUUCCACAAAAUCAGAAAUCAACAGUCUCUCUCCCUGUUCCAGUUCCUGUGAAGAAGAACCGAUUCAAUCUAGUUUAUAAUCUUUUCAGCUUCUCCAAAACAGAACAGAUUCUAAAACUUACCUGAAGCGCCGGUAAUGGCCGACACUGCCACCACGUUACGCCGGAGAGAAAAAUCUACUGGAGAUGAGAACUGGCCAAAGAACCAAACUUUACUGUCCCGUAAACCCAUGAAUCGUUUUUCAUCUUCUGAUUCAGCGUAACGGGAGUGAUCGUCGACGAAGACGGCGAUGAGAGAGAAACCGCCAUUGUUGUUUUUACUCCGGGAAAGCCGAAAGAAAUAAGAAAAAUCCUAACUUUAACGUUUUAGUUAGAAAAAAAAAAUCAAAUUAAAAAAAAUCAAACUUUAAGUUAUUACACGUUGUAUAGAUGACGUAAGCAUUGUCCGAAACAGAAAAAAGUCAAACGCCACGUAAGCUCAGUAAGAGUAAAAUUUUUUGGAAAAGGUAGAUCUUUUUUAAAAGCGAACUAGAUUUUGAUCCGCACAUCCGUGCGGGUAUUCGUUUAAACUUUUAAAAACAUACAAUAGAUAUUUACAUAAAAUUGUUAUAUUAGCGUUUUAUACCAGCUCAAAUAAGAUAAGCUUUUAGCACAUAUAUAAUUAUUAGUAAUACUAUAAGUAAGUAAUUAUUUGAGGUUUAUUUAUUUUAUGUUAUUCAUGUACAUUAAUAUUUAAAAUUUUAAAAAUAGUUAUUAUAUAUAAUAUAAAUGGACUACUUAGUUUUGGAAAGGAAAAAAAUUGAUAUUUUUUAAUAUUUAUGGAAUGGUAAAAACUAUUUUAUAUUGAUUUUAUAUCAUAUCAUUCGUAUUAAUAUAUAUAUGUACAGUUCACAACAGGUAAAAUUAAUUAAUUUUUAACUUUAAGAAAGAUUUUGUUAAGAUAUAUUAUCAUUUGAAACAAUAAUUAAUAUUUCCAUAUAUAAAAGUAAUUGAUGGUAUAUUUUUAAGGAAGAUUUUGUUAAGUUUAACUAAUAUAGUGCUCUUUUGCGAAAUAGACACUUUUUAUUAAUAAUAUUUUAUACGUACAAUCAUAUAAAUAAUCACAUAUAUUAUAUUUUAAAAUUUAAUGUGAAAUAUAAAAGCUAUAAUUUAAGUUGGUGUUUGAAAUUGGGCUUUGUAUUGCAUUUUUUUUGUAGAGUUUUGGAUGGACAGUGGAGAUGGCACGUCUCAUGCCAAAACCAAAAGAAAAAAUCUAUAAGAUAGGAUUUUUUAACUAAAAGCCAAUGGAAGUAGCAACUCUCGUUCCAGCACAGAUCUUUAACUCCAAUAAAUUCAGAAAACAAUACAGUUCCUCUAAAGAAAACCAUUGAAUCAUACAAAGGUUGCUCCCUUCAAAACAAGUUAAUAAGAAAUGAUGUAUUUGGAUAACAACAGAAGACUGAAGUUCUUGAACUGCAACACGCUUUUAGGAUCUCUUCAAUUGGAGGGUCAUCUCGAGCUUCUUUGUCCUGAAAUGUUCCAACAAACAAGUUGUUGAGUACGAGAUUGUGAUUAAUUUAUCUCUUUGAUUACAUUGACAUGGUGUAAACACAAGUAUUUGAUCAAAACGUGUUACCUGGUCCAUACUCCCCGGUCCGAUCAAAACAAGAGAAACACCAGAUGCAUCCAUCACAUGCUAAGAAAACCUCAAAUGUAUCACUUAAUGAAAUGACCAAACCAUCAUCAAGAUUUUGACAGUGGGGUGAAUCAUUUUACCUUCUUUUACGACAAGCAAGCUUUAAUACCCAACAUAGUAGUAGUAACCAAACACAUUCACCAAAUCUAAUAAGAAACUUCUCCAAAAAGAUUUAACCACCCAAAAUGACGAGCAAAUGCAACAACAGCCUUCCUAUCCUUCCACAAAAUCAGAAAUCAACAGUCUCUCUCCCUGUUCCAGUUCCUGUGAAGAAGAACCGAUUCAAUCUAGUUUAUAAUCUUUUCAGCUUCUCCAAAACAGAACAGAUUCUAAAACUUACCUGAAGCGCCGGUAAUGGCCGACACUGCCACCACGUUACGCCGGAGAGAAAAAUCUACUGGAGAUGAGAACUGGCCAAAGAACCAAACUUUACUGUCCCGUAAACCCAUGAAUCGUUUUUCAUCUUCUGAUUCAGCGUAACGGGAGUGAUCGUCGACGAAGACGGCGAUGAGAGAGAAACCGCCAUUGUUGUUUUUACUCCGGGAAAGCCGAAAGAAAUAAGAAAAAUCCUAACUUUAACGUUUUAGUUAGAAAAAAAAAAUCAAAUUAAAAAAAAUCAAACUUUAAGUUAUUACACGUUGUAUAGAUGACGUAAGCAUUGUCCGAAACAGAAAAAAGUCAAACGCCACGUAAGCUCAGUAAGAGUAAAAUUUUUUGGAAAAGGUAGAUCUUUUUUAAAAGCGAACUAGAUUUUGAUCCGCACAUCCGUGCGGGUAUUCGUUUAAACUUUUAAAAACAUACAAUAGAUAUUUACAUAAAAUUGUUAUAUUAGCGUUUUAUACCAGCUCAAAUAAGAUAAGCUUUUAGCACAUAUAUAAUUAUUAGUAAUACUAUAAGUAAGUAAUUAUUUGAGGUUUAUUUAUUUUAUGUUAUUCAUGUACAUUAAUAUUUAAAAUUUUAAAAAUAGUUAUUAUAUAUAAUAUAAAUGGACUACUUAGUUUUGGAAAGGAAAAAAAUUGAUAUUUUUUAAUAUUUAUGGAAUGGUAAAAACUAUUUUAUAUUGAUUUUAUAUCAUAUCAUUCGUAUUAAUAUAUAUAUGUACAGUUCACAACAGGUAAAAUUAAUUAAUUUUUAACUUUAAGAAAGAUUUUGUUAAGAUAUAUUAUCAUUUGAAACAAUAAUUAAUAUUUCCAUAUAUAAAAGUAAUUGAUGGUAUAUUUUUAAGGAAGAUUUUGUUAAGUUUAACUAAUAUAGUGCUCUUUUGCGAAAUAGACACUUUUUAUUAAUAAUAUUUUAUACGUACAAUCAUAUAAAUAAUCACAUAUAUUAUAUUUUAAAAUUUAAUGUGAAAUAUAAAAGCUAUAAUUUAAGUUGGUGUUUGAAAUUGGGCUUUGUAUUGCAUUUUUUUUUAUAUAUUGAAAAUAUUUUUAUAAUAGUUAUUGGAAAAUAUGUUAGUAAAAAUUAAAUUUUGAAUAUAUGUAUACUUUUAAAUGAAUUUUUGAUAUAAAUCAAUUUUAAAUUAUUAUUUUGAUUUGAAUAUAUAUAUCAAGUAACAUAGACCCAUUAUUUUUUAAUAUAAUAUAAUAGACUUCCAAUUUUUUAGUAGCAUAAGCCUAAUAUGUUUUUUCCUAACUUACUACUAUCUAUGUUUCCAAACAAUACUAUUUUUUUUAACUACUAUCCAUAUUGCCAAACAAUCUCAGUGUGUACUUCAACUUUAAUAAUAUAUAUAUAUAUAGAUGUUCCUUCUUUGCACGUUUAAGGGAUCUCAAGCCGCUUCUCUCUCUCACACAUCUCUGAAAUGGCGAGAGUAUUGCGUGUGGCGAGAUCCUCCUCCUCCCUCUUCAGCUUCGGAAGCAGAUCUUAUUCAGCCGAAGCUAGCCACGUGUCCUCUCCCCCUCCUCCGUUUCUUGGAGCUCGCAGAGACGUUACCAAGGAGAGAAACGUGCAGUGGGUGUUCCUCGGUUGUCCCGGUGUCGGGAAGGGGACUUACGCCAGCAGACUCUCGAGUCUCCUCGGUGUUCCUCACAUCGCCACCGGAGAUCUCGUCCGUGAUGCGCUAGCUUCUUCCGGACCUCUCUCCCGACAGGUUCUUGUUUCACUUUAUGUCCAAAUGAAUCCCAAAACGACGUCGUUUUCUGUUUAAAUCUGCUAAAAGUUCAUGUGUCUACCAACAGAUCUAAUGAACUAGUGUUUGUUUUGUCCUAACGGAUCUGAUCCUUUUUCUAAUAAUAGUCAACGGCUCUCUCCUCUUGCUUGUAUUGAGAUUCUUAUUACUUGAUUGCAGCUAUCAGAGAUUGUAAACCAGGGGAAGCUUGUUUCUGAUGAGAUCAUAGUGAACUUAUUAUCAAAGAGACUUGAAGCUGGUGAAGCCAAGGGCGAAUCAGGUUUCAUUCUUGAUGGCUUUCCUCGUACCAUGAGACAAGCUGUAAGUUAAUUCAUUGACUUCACAUCAUAUUGAGCAAAGUUUUGAAUGAUUAAUCUUUGUGUUUUCAGGAAAUAUUAGGAGAUGUCACUGACAUCGAUCUAGUGGUGAACUUAAAGCUACCUGAGGAGGUUUUGGUUGACAAAUGCUUAGGGAGGAGAACGUGUAAUCAAUGCGGUAAAGGUUUCAAUAUAGCUCACAUCAACUUAAAGGGUGAGAAUGGGAAACCAGGAAUCAGCAUGGAUCCACUUCUCCCUCCACCUCAGUGUAUGUCAAAGCUCAUCACUCGUGCUGAUGAUACUGAGGAGGUUGUGAAAGCUAGGCUCCGUAUUUACAAUGAAACCGUAAGUCCUCUUUCUCUCUCUCUAUUGUUCUUCCCAUUUUAGCGAUGCUUGAUGCUUUGAAUGAUGUGUGCAGAGCCAGCCUCUUGAAGAGUACUACCGUAUCAAGGGAAAGCUGAUGGAGUUUGACUUACCUGGAGGCAUCCCUGAGUCUUGGCCAAGGCUGUUAGAAGCUUUAAGGCUUGAUGAUUACGAGGAGAAGCAAUCUGCCGCGGCGUAGUUCAACUACAACUCCGGUUUAUAAUUCUUUGCAUGUGGAAGACAUGUGCCUAUAUCAGUUUUGUGUUGGAAAAUAAAGAAAACCUUAGAUUGUUUUUUUUUAUUGCCUCAGAUCAGAAUAAUCAUCAUCAUACACACUUUGCAAACUAUAUGAUGUAUCAUGAUUGUUUAUGAGUUUGCUAGUUACAGGAAUGUAUAAACACUUUGGUACACUUUUGAUUAUUUAUUGUUGAAUGUGAUCAAUGAUUGUUUAUGAGUUUGCUAGUUACAUUACAUGAAUGUAUCAAUACUUACACUGCUUGUUACACAUCAGGUUUGAUGUUUGGGCUCUUGUGAUUAGUUUGUUUAUUGUUGAAUGUGUGUGAUAAUAUUGCGGCUGGCCGAGCUGGCUGGUUAAAGAACACAACCAGACAGUAAAGUAAAACAGUCGCAUACAUUAAAGAUUUUGUGGAACGUAUAACCAGCUCCUGUCUGUCCUAGAAUUGGCGGUUCAGGAUAGAACUGUUCCUUACAUACUGGAACUUCCAGUAGAAUUUGAUGCUAAUUGUUGGUCCUAAACUAGUGUGUAUCAGUUGCUAUGUGAUCUCAUAACUGGACCUUAUCUUAUGGUUUGUGCUUGAGGUUUCUGAGAAAUCGCUGGGUUCAUUUGAUUCUUCUGGUUUGACAAUUAGUUUCUUGUUAUGGACACGGUGAAAUCAGACUCAAAUCGGUGGAAUAAGACAGCCUCAAAGAAGGCAGACAUAAUCAUGUUUGCUCUUGAUUCAUCUUCAAUCUCAACAGGACAUUAAAAUCAAUUUGUAGCUUUAUUUUGUUAGUAUAUAGAUUUGAUGAAAUAAACAACCUUUAAAUUAUAAAUAUAAAGAUGAAAAUAUUCUUAAACAUGAAACCGUUUUGAUCAAGAUUCAAAAAAAACUUCAUUAAAAGAUAGGGACAUCUUCUGAAACAUAUCCAAAAAGCUCUAAUGAAAAACAGCAAGAUAAGGUCUUUGAGAUGUAAUGCAAACUCAAGGCCUAGGAAGAUCCUCCUUAACGGUUGGCCUUCGCAACUCUCUCAAUCUCAUCCUUCUUCUUGAUGGCAUAGCUGCAAAAAAACAAGACAAGAUGCUAUUAGUAUUUAGCAACAAACAAACACAAUUUGUGAACCCGCUUUAAGAGACAAGACAAUGUAAAGAUGUUUACCUGUUGGAAGAUCCCUUGGCAGCAUUGAUGAGCUCAUCAGCAAGGCACUCAGCGAUUGUCUUGAUGUUUCUAAACGCAGCUUCACGUGCACCAGUGGUGAGCAAGAAGAUGGCUUGGUUCACACGUCUUAGAGGAGAGAUAUCAACAGCCUGCCUCCUAACCACACCAGCAGAUCCAAUCCUCGUCGCAUCCUCACGUGGACCACUAGCUCACCAAUAAAACACACACAACAUUAGAAAAAAAGGUUUCUAGUAACACGCAAUAAAGAAUGCAACAUUGUUGUCUUACCUGUUGACAAUGGCAUCAAUGAUAACCUGAAUAGGGUUCAAGUCAGUCAAGAGAUGGAUGAUCUCCAUGGCGUGCUUGAUGAUCCUCACAGCCAUCAGCUUCUUUCCGUUGUUCCUUCCGUGCAUCAUGAGAGAGUUCGUGAGCCUCUCAACAAUGGGACACUGAGCCUUCCUGAACCUCUUGACAGAGUAUCUUCCAGCAGUGUGGGGGACAAAGGUCGCGUGCUUAGGAGGCUGAACCCCAAUGUAGUCAACAAGACUAAUGUCUGUGCCCUACCCAUUCACAAAAAAAAAAAACACAAGAUCAACAAAACAAAUACUAAGAACAUAGCCAUUGUUGCCAAUUUAAAUUUUAGAGAUCUAAUAUUCAAAAACAAACCAAACAACACAGAAAGUGUUGGACUUUAAGACAAAGAAACAUCAGGAUCAACCAAGUGUACUGAGACAAUAAAACAUGAAUUGAAAAUUAACAAAAAUAAAAACAAAAAGAGGACAUUUUUUCCGACAUAACUCCAUGAGUUAUAUCUAAUUCAGACAAUGUAACUAUUUUUUUGUAAUAGACCAAUCAUUUCAUUGUAGAAUUAGAUCCUAUAAAGAUUGCAAAUGAGCUAUCGUAAACUUACCGAAACGUCAUCAAAGCUCCAGCGAUUGAAGAGCUUGACCUCGUUGGUAAGCUGCUGCUGAAUCUCAGCGUCAAUCUCAACGGCGGCGGCCAUGGCUGGAAACACCAAACAUACUUACACUGCUUGUUACACAUCAGGUUUGAUGUUUGGGCUCUUGUGAUUAGUUUGUUUAUUGUUGAAUGUGUGUGAUAAUAUUGCGGCUGGCCGAGCUGGCUGGUUAAAGAACACAACCAGACAGUAAAGUAAAACAGUCGCAUACAUUAAAGAUUUUGUGGAACGUAUAACCAGCUCCUGUCUGUCCUAGAAUUGGCGGUUCAGGAUAGAACUGUUCCUUACAUACUGGAACUUCCAGUAGAAUUUGAUGCUAAUUGUUGGUCCUAAACUAGUGUGUAUCAGUUGCUAUGUGAUCUCAUAACUGGACCUUAUCUUAUGGUUUGUGCUUGAGGUUUCUGAGAAAUCGCUGGGUUCAUUUGAUUCUUCUGGUUUGACAAUUAGUUUCUUGUUAUGGACACGGUGAAAUCAGACUCAAAUCGGUGGAAUAAGACAGCCUCAAAGAAGGCAGACAUAAUCAUGUUUGCUCUUGAUUCAUCUUCAAUCUCAACAGGACAUUAAAAUCAAUUUGUAGCUUUAUUUUGUUAGUAUAUAGAUUUGAUGAAAUAAACAACCUUUAAAUUAUAAAUAUAAAGAUGAAAAUAUUCUUAAACAUGAAACCGUUUUGAUCAAGAUUCAAAAAAAACUUCAUUAAAAGAUAGGGACAUCUUCUGAAACAUAUCCAAAAAGCUCUAAUGAAAAACAGCAAGAUAAGGUCUUUGAGAUGUAAUGCAAACUCCUUACAUAGCCAUUGAACUGCUGUUCAGCUGUCUGAACCUCAGAGGCUGAAGACAUAGUCACAAACCCAAAACCUCUGCUUCUCCCUGUCACCUUGUCAUAGAUAACCUAAACAAAGACAACAAAACGAACAAUCACUAAAACCAAUCUCAAACAACAACAACAACAACAACAAAAAAGAUUCAAUCUUUAUCUCAUUUCUCGAAAACCCAUAACUCAAUUUUGAGUUUUUGACUCGUUACCUCAACCAUCUCGACGUUUCCGGCGCUCUCGAAGAGCUGAGCGAGCUGAGCGCUGUCGACGUUAAAGGGGAGGUUACCGACGAAGAGCUUGAGGUCAGAAGAGAAGGAUUGCUCCCGCCGCGGGGGAGGAGGAGCGUCGUCGUCAGCGAAGAUGCCGUCUUCUUCGACUGAGAAGUCGUCAGUAACCGCGACGUUACGGACGAAGCGAGAGGAAGCGGCGGAGAUGGAGAGGGAGAGGGAGGCGGAGAGGGAGUGGAGAUUGAAGGAGAGGGAAGGAGGUAGGAGGGAAACGGAGGCGGGUCUGGAGAUGGAGAAAGGAAGGGACUUGGGG